GGGAGCAUUUUGUGUGACGAAAAUGACGCAUGGCCAAACUAUAUGAUUUUGUAGGGAUGAGCUUUCUUUGGCUAUGUAAUUUUGAGAAGACAUAAUUGCUUGGUUAGUAUGCUUGAAGUAUUAUUAUUUUUAUGUCAAUAUUAAACUUUUGUCUUGAACCUUUCGGAUCUGAAUAUUCAUGCCAUAAUAAAGAAAAUUACAUUAAAAAUUAUGUUAGGAAGCAUUCCGCAUCAAAAAUUCUAUUUUUAUCAUUUACCUACUCGAAGACGAGCAGGAAUUAAGCUUGGGGAUGUUGAUACGUCUCCAACAUAUCUAUAAUUUUUCAUUGUUCCAUGCUAUUAUAUUAUCUGUUUUGGAUGUUUAAUGGGCUUUAAUAUGCACUUUUAUGUUAUUUUUGGGACUAUCCUAUUAACCGGAGGCCCAGUGCCAGUUUCUGUUUUUUUGCCUAUUUCAGUGUUUCGCAAAAAAGGAAUAUCAAACGGAAUCCAAACGGAACAAAACCUACGCGAGGAUCUUUCUUGGAACAAACGUCAUCCAGGAGACUUGGAGGGGAAGUCAGAGACGCAACAAGGAGGCCACAAGGUAGGGGGGCGCGCCCACCACACUAGGGCGCGCCCCCACCCUCGUGGGCCCCUCGUAGAUCCACCGACGUACUUAUUUCGCCUAUUGAUACGUCUCCAACGUAUCUAUAAUUUAUGAAGUAUUCAUGCUAUUAUAUUAUCAACCUUGGAUGUUUUAUAUGCAUUUAUAUGCUAUUUUAUAUGAUUUUUUGGACUAACCUAUUAACCUAGAGCCCAGUGCCAGUUUCUGUUUUUUCCUUGUUUUUGAGUUCUACAGAAAAGGAAUAUCAAAAGGAGUCCAAUUGAUGUGCCAAUUUUUUUACGAUUUUUGAUGGCCCAAAAGAAGACCCCGGAGUAAAAGAGUUGGGCCAGGAGAGUCCCGGGGCNNNNNNNNNNNNNNNNNNNNNNNNNNNNNNNNNNNNNNNNNNNNNNNNNNNNNNNNNNNNNNNNNNNNNNNNNNNNNNNNNNNNNNNNNNNNNNNNNNNNNNNNNNNNNNNNNNNNNNNNNNNNNNNNNNNNNNNNNNNNNNNNNNNNNNNNNNNNNNNNNNNNNNNNNNNNNNNNNNNNNNNNNNNNNNNNNNNNNNNNNNNNNNNNNNNNNNNNNNNNNNNNNNNNNNNNNNNNNNNNNNNNNNNNNNNNNNNNNNNNNCUCCUUGACGUGAGACUGACGCCAAAAAUUCCUAUAAAUACAGAAACCUCGGAAAAUUAACCUAGAUCGGGAGUUCCGCCGCCAGAAGCCUCCGUAGCCACCAAAAACCAAUCUAGGCCCUCUCCGGCACCCUGCCGGAGGGGGCCAUCAUCACCGGAGGACAUGGAGGAGGAUCUCGGAGGGGCCAUCAUCACCAUGAAGGCCAAGGACCAGAGGGGGAACUGAUGUCUACUACACAACCUUCUUCUUGUAGACGUUGUUGCGCCUCCAAAUGCAGAGAUUUGUAGGACAGUAGCAAAUUUCCCUCAAGUGGAUGACGUAAGGUUUAUCAAUCCGUAGGAGGCAUAGGAUGAAGAUGGUCUCUCUCAAGCAACCCUGCAACCAAAUAACAAAGAGUCUCUUGUGUCCCCAACACACCCAAUAUAAUGGUAAAUUGUAUAGGUGCACUAGUUCGGCAAAGAGAUGGUGAUACAAGUGGUAUAUGGAUGGUAGAUAAUAGUUUUUGUAAUCCGAAAAUAUAAAAACAGCAAGGUAACUAAUGGUAAAAGUGAGCGUAAACGGUAUUGCAAUGCGUUGAAACAAGGCAUAGGGUUCAUACUUUCGCUAGUGCAAGUUCCCUCAACAAUAAUAACAUAAUUGGAUCAUAUAACUAUCCCUCAACAUGCAACAAAGAGUCACUCCAAAGUCAAUAAUAGCGGAGAACGAACGAAGAGAUUAUGGUAGGGUACGAAACCACCUCAAAGUUAUUCUUUCCAAUCAAUCCAUUCGGCUAUUCCUAUAAGUGUCACAAACAGCCCUAGAGUUCGUACUAGAAUAACACCUUAAGACACAAAUCAACCAAAACCCUAAUGUCACCUAGAUACUCCAAUGUCACCUCAAGUAUCCGUGGGCAUGAUUAUAUGAUAUGCAUCACACAAUCUCAGAUUCAUCUAUUCAACCAACAGAUAGAACCUCAAAGAGUGCCCCAAAUUUCCUACCGGAGAAUCACGACGAAAACGUGUGCCAACCCCUAUGCAUAGGUUCAUGGGCGGAACCCGCAAAUUGAUCACCAAAACAUCAAGUGAAUCAUGUGGUAUCCCAUUGUCACCACAGAUACGCACGGCAAGACAUACAUCAAGUGUUCUCAAAUCUUUAAAGACUCAAUCCGAUAAGAUAAAUUCAAAGGGGAAACUUAAUCCAUUACAAGAGAGUAGAGGGGGGAGAAAACAUCAUAAGAUCCAACUAUAAUAGCAAAGCUCGCGAUACAUCAAGAUCGUACCACCUCAAGAACAUGAGAGAGAGGGAGAGAUCAAACACAUAGCUACUGGUACAUACCCUCAGCCCCGAGGGAGAACUACUCCGUCCUCGUCAUGGAGAGCACCGGAAUGAUGAAUAUGGCCACCGAAGAGGGAUUGCCCCCACUAAUAGGGUGCUGGAACGGGUCUAGAUUGGCUUUCGGUGGCUAUGGAGGCUUCUGGCGGUGGAACUCCCGAUCUAUUGUGCUCCCUAAUGUUUUUAGGGUAUAUGGAGAUAUAUAGGCGGAAGAAGGAUGUCAGGGGGGCCACGAGGGGCCCACGAGGGUGGAGGGCGUGCCCCCUACCUCGUGGCCUCCUUGAAGCUUCCCUUCCAUGCACUUCAAGUCUUUUGGGCUUCUUUCCUUCCAAAAAAGAGUUCCGUGAAGUUUCAGGUCAACUGGACUCCGUUUGAUUUUCCUUUUCUUCGAAACCCUAAAACAAGGUAAAAAACAGAAAACUGGCACUGUUCUCUGGGUUAAUAGGUUAGUCCCAAAAAUGAUAUAAAAGUGUAUAAUAAAGCCCAUAAACAUCCAAAACAGAAGAUAAUAUAGCAUGGAGCAAUCAAAAAUUAUAGAUACGUUAGAGACGUAUCAGCAUCCCCAAGCUUAAUUCCUGCUCGUCCUCGAGUAGGUUAAUGAUAAAAACAGAUAUUUUUUUAUGCGGAGUGCUACUUGGCAUAAUUUCAAUGUAAUUCUUCUUAAUUGUGGCAUGAAUAUUCAGAUCCGAAAGACUCAAGACAAAAGUUCAUAUUGACAUAAAAAUAAUAAUACUUCAAGCAUACUAACUAAGCAAUUAUUUCUUCUCAAAAUAACAUGGCCAAAGAAAGUUCAUCCCUGCAAAAUCAUAUGAUUUAGUCAUGUUUCAUUUUUGUCACACAAGAAUGCUCUCAUCAUGCACAACCCCGAUGACAAGCCAAGCAAUUGUUUCAUACUUUAGUAAUCUCAAACCUAUAAAAUUUCAUGCAAUAUAUGAGCGCGAGCCAUGGACAUGGCACUAUAGGUGGAAUAGAAUAUAAUGAGGGGGGUAUGUCGAGAAGACAAAAAAGGAGAAUGUCUCACAUCAACGAGGCUAAUCAAUGAGCUAUGGAGAUGCCCACCGAUUGAUGUUAAUGCAAGGAGUAGGGAUUGCCAUGCAGCGGAUGCACUAGAGCUAUAAAUGUAUGAAAACUCAACAAAAGAAACUAAGUGGGUGUGCAUCCAACUUGCUUGCUCACGAAGACCUAGGGCACUUGAGGAGGCUGAUUGUUGGAAUAUACAAGCCAAGUUCUAUAAUGAAAAAUUCCCACUAGUAUAUGAAAAUGACAAAACAAGAGACUCUCUAUCAUGAAGAUUAUGGUGCUACUUUGAACCACAAGUGUGGCAAAGGAUAGUAGCAUUGUCCCUUCUCUCUUUUUCUCUCAAUUUUUUUGGGCCUUCUCUUUUUUAUGGCCUUUUUCUCCUUUUUUUUUCUUUUUUUCUUUUUUUGGGCCUUCUCCUUUUUUAUGGCCUUCCUCUCCUUUUUUUAAUUCCUCACUUGGGACAAUGCUCUAGAAAAUGAUGAUCAUCACACUUCUAUUUAUUUACAACUCAAUGAUUACAACUCGAUACUAGAAUAAAGAUGACUCUAUAUGAAUGCCUCCGGCGGUGUGCCGGGAUGUGCUAUGACUCAUGACUGACAUGUAUGAAAGAAUUAUGAACGGUGGCUUUGCCACAAAUACUAUGUCAACUACAUGAUCAUGCUAAGCAAUAUGACAAUGAUGAAUGUGUCAUGAUAAAUGGAAUGGUGGAAAGUAGCAUGGCAAUAUAUCUCGGAAUGGCUAUGGAAAUGCCAUAAUAGGUAGGUUAUGGUGGCUAUUUUGAGGAAGGUAUAAGGAGGUUUAUGUGUGAAAGAGCGUAUCAUAUCACGGGGUUUGGAUGCACCGGCGAAGUUUGCACCAACUCUCAAUGUGAGAAGGGGCAAUGCACUGUACCGAAGAGGCUAGCAAGGAUGGAAGGGUGAGAGUGCGUAUAAUCCAUGGACUCAACAUUAGCCAUAAAGAAAUCACAUACUUAUUGCAAAAAACUACAAGUCAUCAAAAACCUUGGCACUACGCGCAUGCUCCUAGGGGGAUAGAUUGGUAGGAAAAGACCAUCGCUCGUCCCCGACCGCCACUCAUAAGGAAGACAAUCAAAUAACACCUCAUGUUUCAAAUUUGUUACAUAACAUGUACCAUACGUGCAUGCUACGGGACACAAGUAUUUCUCAAUUUCACAACUACUCAACUAGCACGACUUUGAUAUCAUUACCUCCAUAUAUCAAAACAAUCAUCAAGCAUCAAACUUCUCUUAGUAUUCAAAACACUCAUAAGAAAAUUUUACUAAUCUUGAAUACCUAGCAUAUUAGGAUUUUAAGCAAAUUACCAUGCUAUUAAGACUCUCAAAAUAAUCUAAGUGAAGCAUGAGAGAUCAGUAGUUUCUAUAAAACAAAUCCACCACCGUGCUCUAAAAGAUAUAAGUGAAGCACUAGAGCAAAUGACAAACUACUCUGAAAGAUAUAAGUGAAGAUUAAUGAGUAGUCGAAUAAUUAUGCAACUAUGUGAAGACUCUCUAACAUUUAAGGAUUUAAGAUCUUGAUACUUUAUUAAAACAGCAAGCAAAGCAAAAUAAAAUGACAUUAUAAGAAUGACAAACAUCAUGUGAAGAAGCAAAAACUUAGGAUCAACCGAAACUAACCAAUAGUUGUUGAAGAAGAAAGGUGGGAUGCCAACCGGGGCAUACCCAAGCUUAGACGCUUGAGACUUCUUGAAAUAUUAUCUUGGGGUGCCGUGGGGAUCCCCAAGCUUGAGCUUUUGUGUCUCCUUAAUUCCUCUCAUAUCAUGGUCUCCCUAAACCUCAAAAGCUUCAUCCACACAAAACUCAACAAGGACUCAUGAGAUAAGUUAGUAUAAACCAUUGCAAAAACCUUAUCAUACUCUACUAGAGCAAAUCACUAAAAUUAUUAUUCAACAUUGCAUACUAAAUUCCUCUUCAUAUUUAAUAGUCCUAUCCUCAAAUAGAAUCAUUAAAGAAGAAAACAUAUGCAAACAAUGCAAACAUAACAGCAAUCUGCCUAAACAGGAUAGUCUGUAAAGAGUGCAGCAAGAUCCAUACUUCCCUAACUCAAAAUAUUAUGAAAGAAAAUUCCCACUGUAGUAAAUUUAUAAGAGAUUAAUAUGGAAAAUAUCUCAAUAUUUUAUCACAUUCUGACUUUUCUAGGGAAUUAUUGCAACAGCGGUAAACUUUUUGUUUUCAAACAACAACAUGAAGACUUGUAAAAUAGGCACAGUAAAGGCUAUCAAUGCCACUUUUAUUGAAAUAAAAGACGCAAAACAUUGUUCUAAAUAACAUCAAGCAAAUCCUAACAAAAUAAAUUGAUGCUCCAAGCAAAACACAUAUCAUGUGGUGAAUAAAAAUAUAGCUCCAAGUAAAGUUACCGAUGAACGAAGACGAAAGAGGGGAUGCCUUCCGGGGCAUCCCCAAGCUUAGGCUCUUGGUUGUCCUUGAAUAUUCCCUUGGUUUGCCUUAGGCAUCCCCAAUCUUAGGCUCUUGCCACGCCUUAUUCCAUAGUCCAUUGAAUCCUUACCCAAAACUUGAAAACUUCACAACACAAAACUUAACAGAAAACUCGUAAGCUCCGUUAGUAUAAGAAAAUAAAUCACCACUUCAAGGUACUGUAAUGAACUCAUUCUUUAUUUAUAUUGGUGUAAUAUCUACUGUAUUCAAACUUAUCUAUGGUUCAUACCCUCCGAUACUACUCAUAGAUUCAUCAAAAUAAGCAAACAACAUAUAGAAAAUAGAAUCUGUCAAAAACAGAACAGUCUGUAGUAAUCUGGAUCAAACGUAUAUUUAUGGAACCCCAAAAAUUCUAAAAUAAAUUUCUGGACCUGAGGAAUUUGUCUAUUAAUCAUAUUCAAAAGGAAUUAACUAAAUAGCACUCUCCAAUAAAAAUGGCAGCAAUUCUCGUGAGCGCUAAAGUUUCUGUUUUUUACAGCAUGAUCAACAAGACUUUCCCCAAGUCUUCCAACGGUUCUACUUGGCACAAACACUAAUUAAAACAUAAAACCACAUCUAAACAGAGGCUAGAUGAAUUAUUUAUUACUAAACAGGAGCAAAAAGCAAGGAACAAAAAUGAAGUUGGGUUGCCUCCCAGCAAGCGCUAUCGUUUAACGCCCCUAGCUAGGCAUGAUGAUUUCAAUGAUGCUCACAUAAAGGAUAAGAAUUGAAACAUAAAGAGAGCAUCAUGAAAAAUAUUGCUAAUACAUUUAAGUCUAACCCACUUCCCGUGCAUAGGGAUUUUGUGAGGAAACAACUUGUGAGAACAAGAAUCAACUUGCAUAGGAAGGUAAAACAAGCAUAACUUCAAAACUUCAAGCACAUAGAGAGGAAACUUGAUAUUAUUGCAAUUACUAUAAGCAUAUAUUCCUCCCUCGGAAUAAUUUUCAGUAGCAUCAUGAAUGAAUUCAACAAUAUAACCAGCACCUAAAGCAUUCUUUUCAUGAUCUACAAGCAUAGAAAAUUUACUACUCUCCACACAAGCAAAAUUCUUCUCAUGAAUAAUAGUGGGAGCAAACUCAACAAAAUAACUAUCAUGUGAUUGAAAAUUAAAAUCAAGAUGACAAGUUUCAUGGUUAUCAUUAUUCUUUAAAGCAUACGUGUCAUCACAACAAUCAUCAUAGAUAGGAGGCAUGCUUCCAUCAUAAUAAAUUUGCUCAUCAAAACUUGGGGGACAAAAAAUAUCAUCUUCAUCAAACAUAGUUUCCCCAAGCUUGUGGCUUUGCAUAUCAUUAGCAUCAUGGAUAUUCAAGGAAUUCAUACUAACAACAUUGCAAUCAUGCUCAUCAUUCAAAUAUUUAGUGCCAAACAUUUUAUAGAUUUCUUCUUCUAGAACUUGAGCAUAAUUGGCGGAACCCGCAAGUUGGUCACUAAAACAUGCAUCAAGUGAAUCACGUGAUAUCCCAUUGUCACCACAGACAUGCACGGCAAGACAUACAUCAAGUGUUCUCAAAUCUUUAAAGACUCAAUCUGAUAAGAUAACUUCAAAGAGGAAACUCAAUCCAUUACAAGAGAGAGGGGGAGGAGAAACAUCAUAGGAUCCAAAUACAAUAGAAAAGCUCGCGAUACAUCAAGAUCGUAUCACCUCAAGAACACGAGAGAGAGAGAGAGAGAGAGAGAGAGAGAGAGAGAGAGAGAGAGAUCAAACAUAUGCAAACAAUGCAAACACAACAUCAAUCUGCCUAAACAGGACAGUCAGUAAAGAGUGCAGCAAGAUCCAUACUUCCCUAGCUCCAAAAAUUAUGAAAGAAAAUUCCCACUGUAGUAAAUUUAUCAGAGAUUAAUAUGCAAAAGGUUUCAACAUUUUAUCACAUUCUGACGUUUCUAGGGAAUUAUUGCAACAGCGGUAAACUUUCUGUUUUCAAACAGCAACAUGUGGACUUCUAAAAUAGGCAUAGUAAAGGCUAUCAAUGCCACUUUUAUUGAAAUAAAAGAUGCAAAACAUUGUUCUAAAUAACAGCAGACAAAUCCUAACAAAAUAAAUUGACGCUCCAAGCAAAACACAUAUCAUGUGGCAAAUAAAAAUAUAGCUCCAAGUAAAAGUUACCGAUGAACGAAGACGAAAGAGGGGAUGCCUUCCGGGGCAUCCCCAAGCUUAGGCUCUUGGCUAUCCUUGAAUAUUACCUUGGGGUGCCUUGGUCAUCCCAAUCUUAGGCUCUUGCCACUCCUUAUUCCACAGUCCAUCGAAUCCUUACCCAAAACUUGAAAACUUCACAACACAAAACUUAACAGAAAACUCGUAAGUUCCGUUAGUAUAAGAAAAUAAAUCACCACUUCAAGGCACUGUAAUGAACUCAUUCUUUAUUUAUAUUGGUGUUAAACCUACUGUAUUCCAACUUAUCUAUGGUUUAUAAACUAUUUUACUAGCCAUAGAUUCAUCAAAAUAAGUAAACAACACAUGAAAAACAGAAUCUGUCAAGAAACAGAACAGUCUGUAGUAAUCUGGAUCAAACGUAUACUUCUGUAACUCAUAAAAUUCUCAAAUAAAUUUCUGGACCUGUGUAAUUUGUCUAUUAAUCAUCUUCAAAAAUAAUUAACUCAAUAUCACUUUCAAAAUAAAAAUGGCAGCAGUUCUCGUGAGCGCUAAAGUUUCUGUUUUUUACAGCAUGAUCAACAAGACUUUCCCCAAGUCUUCCCAAAGGUUCUACUUGGCACAAACACUAAUUAAAAGCAUAAUACCACAUCUAAACAUAGGCUAGAUGAAUUAUUUAUUACUAAACAGGAACAAAAAACAUGGAAUAAAAAUAAAGUUGGGUUGCCUCCCAACAAGCGCUAUCGUUUAACGCCCCUAGCUAGGCAUGAUGAUUUCAAUGAUGCUCACAUAAAGGAUAAGAAUUGUAACAUAAAGAGAGCAUCACGAAGAAUAUGACUAGCACAUUUAAGUAUAACCCACUUCCUAUGCAUAGGGAUUUUGUGAGCAAACAACUUAUGGGAACAAGAAUCAACUUGCAUAGGAAAGGAAAACAUGCAUAACUUCAAAACUUCAAGCACAUAGAGAGGAAACUUGAUAUUAUUGCAAUUCCUACAAGCAUAUAUUACUCCCUCAUAAUAAUUUUCAGUAGAAUCAUGAAUGAAUUCAACAAUAUAACCAGCACCUAAAGCAUUCUUCUCAUGAUCUACAAGCAUAGAAAAUUUACUACUCUCCACAUAAGCAAAUUUCUUCUCAUCAAUAGUAGUGGGAGCAAACUCAACGAAAUAACUAUCAUGCGAUUGAAAAUUGAAAUCAAGAUGACAAGUUUCAUUGUUAUCAUUAUUGUUUAAAGCAUACAUGUCAUCACAAUAAUCAUCAUAGAUAGGAGGCAUGCUUUUAUCAUAAUAAAUUUGCUCAUCAAAACUUGGGGGACAAAAUAUAUCAUCUUCAUCAAACAUAGCUUCCCCAAGCUUGUGGCUUUGCAUAUAAUUAGCAUCAUGGAUAUUCAAGGAAUUCAUACUAACAACAUUGCAAUCAUGCUCAUCAUUCAAAGAUUUAGUGCCAAACAUUCUAAUGCAUUCUUCUUCUAGCACUUGAGCACAAUUAUCGGAAUCCUUAUUUUCUUGAUAGAUGUUAAAAAGAUGAAACAAAUGAGGUAACCUUAAUUCCAUUUUUUUUGUAAUUUUAUUUUAUAAACUAAACUAGUGAUAAAACAAGAAACUAAAAGACUCGAUUGCAAGAUCUAAAGAUAAACCUUCAAGCACUCACCUCCCCGGCAAUGACGCCAGAAAAGAGCUUGAUGUCUACUACACAACCUUCUUCUUGUAGACGUUGUUGGGCCUCCAAGUGUAGAGGUUUGUAGGACAGUAGCAAAUUUCCCUCAAGUUGAUGACCUAAAGUUUAUCAAUCCGUAGGAGGCGUAGGAUGAAGAUGGUCUCUCUCAAGCAACCCUGCAACCAAAUAACAAAGAGUCUCUUGUGUCCCCAACACACCCAAUACAAUGGUAAAUUGUAUAGGUGCACUAGUUCGGGGAAGAGAUGGUGAUACAAGUGGUAUAUGGAUGGUAGAUAAUAGUUUUUGUAAUCUGAAAAUAUAAAAACAGCAAGGUAACUAAUGGUAAAAGUGAGCGUAAAUGGUAUUGCAAUGCGUUGAAACAAGGCCUAGGGUUCAUACUUUCGCUAGUGCAAGUUCCCUCAACAAUAAUACAUAAUUGGAUCAUAUAACUAUCCCUCAACAUGCAACAAAGAGUCACUCCAAAGUCAUUAAUAGCGGAGAACGAACGAAGAGAUUAUGGUAGGGUACGAAACCACCUCAAAGUUAUUCCUUCCAAUCAAUCCGUUGGGCUAUUCCUAUAAGUGUCACAAACAGCCCUAGAGUUCGUACUAGAAUAACAUCUUAAGACACAAAUCAACCAAAACCCUAAUGUCACCUAGAUACUCCAAUGUCACCUCAAGUAUCCGUGGGCAUGAUUAUACAAUAUGCAUCACACAAUCUCAAAUUCAUCUAUUCAACCAACACAUAGAACCUCAAAGAGUGCCCCAAAGUUCCUACCAGAGAAUCACGACGAAAACGUGUGCCAACCCCUAUGGAUAGGUUCAUGGGCAGAACCCACAAGUUGAUCACCAAAACAUACAUCAAGUGAAUCACGUGGUAUGCCAUUGUCACCACAGAUACGCACGACCAGACAUACAUCAAAUGUUCUCAAAUCUUUAAAGACUCAAUCCGAUAAGAUAACUUCGAAGGGGAAACUUAAUCCAUUACAAGAGAGUAGAGGGGGGAGAAAACAUCAUAAGAUCCAACUAUAAUAGCAAAUCUCGUGAUACAUCAAGAUUGUACCACCUCAAGAACACGAGAGAGAGAGAUCAAACACAUAGCUAAUGGUACAUACCCUCAGCCCCGAGGGAGAACUACUCCCUCCUCAUCACGGAGAGCACCGGGAUGAUGAAGGUGGCCACCGGAGAGGGAUUUCCCCCUCCAGCAGGGUGCCGGAACGGGUCUAGAUUGGCUUUCGGUGGCUACGGAGGCUUCUGGCGGUGAACUCCCGAUCUAUUGUGCUCCCUGAUGUUUUUACGGUAUAUGGAGAUAUAUAGGCGGAAGAAGUACGUCAGGGGGGCCACGAGGGGCCCACGAGGGUGGAGGGCACGCCCUAGGGGGGUGGGCACGCCCCUACCUCGUGGCCUCCUUGAAGCUUCCCUUACGUGCACUUCCAGUCUUUUGGGCUUCUUUCCUUCCAAAAAUGAGUUCCGUGAAGUUUCAGGUCAAUUGGACUUCGUUCGAUUUUCCUUUUCUUCGAAACCCUAAAACAAGGUAAAAAACAGAAACUGGCUCUGGGCUCUGGGUUAAUAGGUUAGUCCCAAAAAUGAUAUAAAAGUGUAUAAUAAAGCCCAUAAACAUCCAAAACAAUAGAUAAUAUAGCAUGGAGCAAUCAAAAAUUAUAGAUACGUUUGAGACGUAUCAGGAACCUCUCCCCAUCCAGGGGGGAUGCCAUGGAGGAGGAAGCACAAGGGGGAGAACCUCUCCUCCUCUCUCUUGGUGGCACCGGAGUGCCAUCGAGAGGGGAAUCAUCGCCGCGGUGAUCGUCUUCAUCAACAUCACCAUCAUCAUCACCAUCCCCAUCUCUUUUACGCGGUCCACUCUCCCGCACCCCGUUAUAAUCCCUACUUGAACAUGGUGCUUUAUGUCACAUAUUAUGAUCCAAUGAUGUGUUGCCAUCCUAUGAUGUUUUGAGUAGAUAUCCUUUGUCUUUGGGUUGAUUGAUGAUCUAGAUUGGUAUGAGUUGUAUGUUUUACUUUGGUGUUGUCCUAUGGUGCCCUCCGUGUCGCGCAAGCGUGAGGGAUUCCCGCUGUAGGGUGUUGCGAUACGUUUAUGAUUCACUUAUAGUGGGUUGUGAGUGACUGAAACACAAACCCGAGUAAGGGGGUUGUUGUGUAUGGGAUAAAGAGGACUUCAUGCUUUAAUGCUAUGAUUGGGUUUUACCUUAAUGAUCUUUAGUAGUUGCAGAUUUUUGCUAGAGUUCCAAUCAUAAGUCCAUAUGAUACAAGUAGAGAAAGUAUGUUAGCUUAUACCUCUCCCUCAUAUGAAACUGCAAUAGUGAUUACCGGUCUUGUUAACGAUUGCCUAGGACAAUUCUGCACACCGAUCCACCAUUAUUCCACACUCGCUAUUUAUAAUAUUUAUUAAUAUAUUCUAACUUCAUGAUAACAGCACCUACUUUUAUAUUUUAGCUCUCCGAUAUCAAACAAAGUUAUCCUCUUCAUACCCACAACAUAGUUUUAUUUCUCGUUGCUAGCUGGAAGCAAACGUUCGGUGUACGUAGAGUCGUAUCAGUGGCAGAUAGGGCUUGAGAGAAUAUUGCUCUUACCUUUAGCUCCUUGUGGGUUCGACACUCCAUACUUACCACUUCCACCUUUGGAAAUUGCUAUGAUGAAUCCUUGCACCUGGGGAUUAUCAAGCUCUUUUCUGGUGCCGUUGCCGGGGAGCAAUAGCGUAGGGUUGAUAUUCUCGUGUAUGCUUGUUUGCUUUCUUCACUAAGUAGAUUUUGUUUUUUCUUUUUUGUUUCUGUUUAGUUGUGGGUGAAACAUAAAAAAAAUUAAGAGAAUGAAAAUACCAAAAAAAUUACUUGCCUAUCAUGCCUAAAAAGUUUUUCAAAAAGAGAAGUGAUUGGAAAGUUAUGCAUUGAAGAAGUGAGGGUCGACCUUGAGCACUUGUGUUCAUGCUCACGGAAACAAUUUAAAAAAUUUCAUGGAAGUUUCUAUGUAAAUAAUUAUCCCCUUAUAUAUAUAUAUCCAUUGUAUUAUAAAAAUAAUGUGCCGAGCCUUGGUUUUAGGAUGAUUAGAUGGCUUGUUUACUAUGUGCAGAACAAAAAAAGAAACUUUGGCUGUAGCGCGUGAUUUUACAUUUUUUUACUGGAAAGUCAAAUGGGCCUAAAACUUUUUGCACUUUACUUCUGUAAAAAAAAUUCAAAUUGUCAAAUUUAUUUUAUAAUUUUUGGAGUUACAGAAGUUUACUAAACCUUCAGAUUACUACAGAUUGUCCUGUUUUAGACAGAUUCUAUUUUUCGUGUGUUGUUUGCUUAUUUUGAUGAAUCUAUGGGUAGUAUCGGGGGGUAUGAACCAUGGUGAAGUUGGAAUACAGUAUAUAUAGUUCUAAUAUGAAAUUGGAAUGAGUUUUCAACAGUACCUAAAGGUACUGAUUUGCUUUAUUAUACUAAUGGAUCUCACAAAGUUUUUGUUAAAGUUUUUUGUGGAUGAAGUGUUCGAAGAACGAGCAGUUACCGAUGUGAGAAGAAUAAAGAGAGGCAAGAGCUCAAGCUUGGGAAUGCCCAAGGCACCCCAAGUAAAUAUUCUAAGGAUACUCAAGCAUCUAAGCUUGGGGAUGCCCCGGUUGGCAUCCCAUCUUUCUUCUUCAACAAUUAUCGGUAUACCUUGGUUUUUGUUUCAUUCACAUGAUUUGUGUACUUUGUUAUUUUGUUCUUCCUUUAUGAACCAUGCUAGUAUGAGAUAGCCCUUCAUUGAUUUAUAUAAUGCUUCAUGUGCUUCACUUAUAUAUUUUAAGUAUGAUCUUAUAGAAUUGCUCUUUGUGCUUCACUUAAAUCUUUUGAGUAUGGUUUUAUAGAAUGCUUCGUGUGCUUCACUUAUACAUUUUGAGCUUGGACAUUGGUUAGUUUAUAUUAAUUGUGGAAUGCUCCGUGAACUUCACUUAUAUCUUUUGGAGUAUGAAUAAUACUAUCAUCUAAAGCGGGUUUGGAAGAGUGUCAACUCUAGGAACUAGUGAUCCCGCUAUUCCGAAUGAGAAGAAUUUUGCUUAUGUGGAGAGUAGAAAAUUUUCUAUGCUUGUAGAUCAUGAAAAGAAUGCUUUAUGUGAUGGUUAUGUUGUUGAAUUCAUUCAUGAUUCUACUGAAAAUUAUUAUGAGUGAGGAAUAUAUUCUUGUAGGAGUUGCGAUAAUAUCAAGUUUCCUCUCUAUGUGCUUAAAGUUUUGAAGUUGUCCUUGUUUUUCCUUCCUAUGCUAGUUGAUUCUUGUUCCCAUAAGUUGUGUACUCACAAAAUCCCUAGGCAUAGGAAGUGGGUUAGGUUUAAAUUUGCUAGUCAUAUUCUUCAUGAUGCUCUCUUUAUGUUUCAAUUCUUAUCUUUUAUGUGAGCAUCAUUGAAAUCAUCAUGCCUAGCUAAAAGACAUUAAAGAAAAGCGCUUGUUGGGAGACAACCCAAUAUUUACCCUUAAUGUUUUUGUGUGUUAUCAUGAUUAAGAUACUUUAUUAAUAAUGUAUUAUAGCUUUUGUUUCAAUAACGUGCCAAGUAAGACCUUUGGGAAGACUUGGGUGAAAGUUAAUGUGAUCUUGCUGUAAAAAACAGAAACUUUGCGCUCACGAGAUCUGCUGCCAUUUUUUAUUGGAGAGUGAUAUUAGGUUGAUUCUUUUUGCAUAAGAUUAAUAGACAAAUUCCUCACGUCCACCAAUUUAUUUCAUAAUUGUUUGAGUAGCAUAAGUAUGGUUAGUGUUCAGAUCAUUACAGACUGUUCUGUUUCUGACAGAUUCUGUUUUCAUUGCAUAGUUUGCUUGUUUUCUAGUUUCUAUGACUUAUAUUUCUCAAUAUAAAUUGUAGAAAUUAUAUGGUACAGUAGGCAUUGUGUGAGAACAAUUAUGAACCUUGUCUUUGACAGUACCAAAGUGAAUGGUUUACUCUUUAUCAUACUAACCUAUCUCACGAAGUUCCGUUAAGUUUUGUGUGAUUGAAGUUUUCAAGCUUUGGGUGAGAUAUCGAUAUGAGGAGAAUAAGGAGUGGAAAGACCCUAAGCUUGGGGAUGCCCGAGGCACCCCAAGGUAAUAUUCAAGGAAGACUCAAGCGCCUAAGCUUGGGGAUGCCCCAGAAGGCAUCCCCUCUUUCGUCUUCAAAACUAUCGGUAUACCUUACUCGGAGCUAUAUUUUUAUUCGUCACAAGAUAUGUGUUUUGCUUGGAGCGUAUUUUCAAUUUUAAUUUCUGUUUGAAUAAAAUCAUUGGAUCUGAAUUAUUAAAUGAAAAAGAAUCCUCCGAUGGCUAGUUAAUUAUUUGACUACUCAGUGUCCUUCACUAUUAUCUUUUGGAGUAGUUUGUCAUUUACUCACGUGCUUCAUGUAUAUCCUAUGAGUAAAUGGUUGAAUAAUUGAAUAUCAUAAAUCUGAAUUUAUAUAUGUUUCAUAUGCUUAUACCAUGGGGAGUAAUGACUUCACAUAGAAUAAUUAUAGGUAGUAAACUUAUUGAAAGUUAGCAAACCUAGAAUUGGUCACUUGAACAAUUCAUGAAAGAUUAUUGAAGGAAGAGAGAUUUCACAUAUAAAUAUACUAUCUUGAACAUCUUUCGUAAUUGUGAGCACUCAUAAAAUAUGACAUGCUAAAAGGUUGAUGUCGAACAAGGAAGACAACGUAAUGGGUUAUGUUUUCUUAUAUCCGAAAUAAAGUAUAUUGUCUUGGAUCAUCCAACAUGUUGAGCUUGCUUUUCCCCCUCAUGCUAGCCAAAUUCUUUGCACCAAGUAGAGAUACUACUUGUGCUUCCAAACAUUCCUUAAACCAGUUUUGCCAUGAGAGUCCACUAUACCUACCUAUGGAUUGAGUAAGAUCCUUCAAGUAAGUUGUCAUCGGUGCAUGCAAUAAAAACUGCCCUCUAAAUAUGUAUGAUCUAUUAAUGUGGGGAAACUAAGCUUUAUACGAUCUUGUGAUGUGGAAGAAAUAAAAGUGAUGGACUGCAUAAUAAAGGUCCAUAUCACAAGUGGCAAUAUAAAGUGACGUUCUUUUGCAUUAAGAUUUUGUGCAUCCAACCAUAAAAGCGCAUGACAACCUCUGCUUCCCUCUGCGAAGGGCCUAUCUUUUACUUUUAUCUUCUACCUUAUGCAAGAGUCAUGGUGAUCUUCACCUUUCCUUUUUUACAUUUUAUCCCUUAGCAAGCACAUUGUGUUGGAAAGAUCCUGAUAUAUAUAUAUAUAUAUAUAUAUAUAUAUAUAUAUAUAUAUAUUUCCAAUUGGAUGUAAGUUAUCAUGAACUAUUAUUGUUGACAUUACCCUUGAGGUAAAAGUUGGGAGGCGAAUCUAUAAGCCCCUAUCUUUCUCUGUGUCCGAUUAAAACUUUGAACCCAUAAAUAUCAUGUGAGUGUUAGGAAUUGUGAAAGACUAAAUGAUAGUUGAGUAUGUGGAGUUUCCUAAAUCAAAGCUCUGACAUAGACCCUUCCUAAAAAUAAGAUGAAUUGCAAUUGUUUGAUGACUGAGAAUAUAGUUUGUUAGUUUCAAGAGAGUUUAUGAUCUAUACUUUAACAUGUGAAUAGCUUGUUCCUUGAUCAUGAAAAGUUUUAUGAAAAUGAGCUACUGUUAUGAUAUAUAAUGAUGCUAGAAAAAGCGAUUGGAACUAUCAUUGAUGAAACUUAUGCACUUGCUAGCAUUCACACUUCAUAAAUUAUUUCUUUUAUCAUUUACCUACUCGAGGACGAGCAGGAAUUAAGUUUGGGGAUGCUAAUACGUCUCCAAUGUAUCUAUAAUUUAUGAAGUAUUCAUGCUAUUAUAUUAUCAACCUUGGAUGUUUUAUAUGCUAUUUUAUAUGGUUUUUGGGACUAACCUAUUUACCUAGAGCCCAGUGCUAGUUUCUGUUUUUUUCCUUGUUUUUGAGUUUUACAGAAAAGGAGUAUCAAACGGAGUCCAAUUGAUGUGCCAAUUCUUGAUGCUUUUUUAUGGACCAAAAGAAGACCCCGGAGUAAAAGAGUUGGGCCAGGAGAGUCCCGGGGCAUCCACGAGGGUGGGGGGCGCGCCCACCCCCCCAGGCGCGUGGGCCUGCCUCGUGGACGCCUUGGGCACCUCCUUGACGUGAGACCGACGCUAAAAAUUCCUAUAAAUACAGAAACCUUGGAAAAUUAAACUAGAUCGGGAGUUCCACCGCCAGAAGCCUCCGUAGCCACCAAAAACCAAUCUAGGCCCUCUCUGGCACCCUGCCGAAGGGGGCCAUCAUCAUCGGAGGGNNNNNNNNNNCCCAGUGCUAGUUUCUGUUUUUUUCCUUGUUUUUGAGUUUUACAGAAAAGGAGUAUCAAACGGAGUCCAAUUGAUGUGCCAAUUCUUGAUGCUUUUUUAUGGACCAAAAGAAGACCCCGGAGUAAAAGAGUUGGGCCAGGAGAGUCCCGGGGCAUCCACGAGGGUGGGGGGCGCGCCCACCCCCCCAGGCGUGUGGGCCUGCCUCGUGGACGCCUUGGGCACCUCCUUGACGUGAGACCGACGCUAAAAAUUCCUAUAAAUACAGAAACCUUGGAAAAUUAAACUAGAUCGGGAGUUCCACCGCCAGAAGCCUCCGUAGCCACCAAAAACCAAUCUAGGCCCUCUCUGGCACCCUGCCGAAGGGGGCCAUCAUCAUCGGAGGGCAUGAAGGAGGAUCCCGGAGGGGCCAUCAUCACCAUGAAGGCCAAGGAACAGAGGGGGAACCUCUCCCCAUCUAGGGGGGAGGCCAUGGAGGAGGAAGCACACGGGGGAGAACAUCUCCUCCUCUCUCUUGGUGGCACCGGAGUGCCAUUGAGAGGGGAAUUAUCGCCGCGGUGAUCGUCUUCAUCAACAUCACCAUCAUCAUCACCAUCCUCAUUUCUUUUACGCGGUCCACUCUCCCGCACCCUGCUGUAAUCCCUACUUGAACAUGGUUCUUUAUGCCACAUAUUAUGAUCCAAUGAUGUGUUGCCAUCCUAUGAUGUUUUGAGUAGAUAUCCUUUGUCUUUGGGUUGAUUGAUGAUCUAGAUUGGUAUGAGUUGUAUGUUUUACUUUGGUGCUGUCCUAUGGUGCCCUCCGUGUCGCGCAAGCGUGAGGGAUUCCCGCUGUAGGGUGUUGCGAUACGUUUAUGAUUCGCUUAUAGUGGGUUGUGUGAGUGACUAAAACACAAACCCGAGUAAGGGGGUUGUUGCGUAUGGGAUAAAGAGGACUUGAUGCUUUAAUGCUAUGGUUGGGUUUUACCUUAAUGAUCUUUAGUAGUCGCGGAUGCUUGCUAGAGUUCCAAUCAUAAGUGCAUAUGAUCCAAGUAGAGAAGUAUGUUACCUUAUGCCUCUCCCUCAUAUGAAACUGCAAUAGUGAUUACUGGUCUUGUUAACGAUUGCCUAGGACAAUUCCACACACCGAUCCACCAUUAUUCCACACUCUCUAUUUAUAAUAUAUAGUAAUAUUAUAAACUUCAUGAUAACAGCACCUACUUUUAUAUUUUAGCUCUCCGAUAUCAUACAAAGUUAUCCUCUUCAUACACACAACAUAGUUUUAUUUCUCAUUGCUAGUUGGAAGCAAACCUUCGGUGUAUGUAGAGUCAUAUCAGUGGCUGAUAGGGCUUGAGAGAAUAUUGAUCUUACCUUUAGCUCCUUGUGGGUUCGACACUCCAUACUUAUCCCUUCCAGCUUUGCAAAUUGCUAUGAUGAUUCCUUGCACUUGGGGAUUAUCACCUAUAUAUACUCUUAUACCCUAAAAACAACCAGGAGAGCCACGAAACCACCUUUCCACCACCGCAACCUUCUGUACCCAUGCGAUCCCAUCUGGGGACCUUUUCCGGCGAUCUGCCGGAGGGGGAAUCGAUCAUGGAGGGCUUCUACAUUAACAUCGUAUCCUCUCCGAUGAUGUGUGAGUGGUCGAGCACAGACCUUUGGGUCCAUAGUUAUUGGCUAGAUGGCUUCUUCUCUCUCUUUGGUUCUCAAUACAAAGUUCUCCUCGAUGUUCUUGGAGAUAUAUUCGAUGUAAUAUUCUUUUGCGGUGGGUUUGCCUAGAUAAGAUGAAUUGUGGAUUUAUGAUCAAGUUUAUCUAUGAACAAUAUUUGGUUCUUCUAUGAAUUCUUAUAUGCAUGAUUUGAUAUCUUUGCAAGUCUCUUCGAAUUAUCGGUUUAGUUUGGCCUACUAGAUUGAUCUUUCUUGCAAUGGGAGAAGUGCUUAGCUUUGGGUUCAAUCUUGCAGUGUCCUUUCCCAGUGACAGUAGGGGCAUCAAGGCACGUAUUGUAUUGUUGCCAUCGAGGAUAAAAAUAUGGGGUUUAUAUCAUAUUGCUUGAGUUUAUCCCUCUACAUCAUGUCAUCUUGCCUAAAGCAUUACUCUGUUCUUAUGAACUUAAUACUCUAGAUGCAUGUUGGAUAGCGGUCGAUGUGUGGAGUAAUAGUAGUAGAUGCAGAAUCGUUUCGGUCUACUUAACACGGACGUGAUGCCUAUGUUCAUGACCAUGCCUAGAUAUUCUCAUAACUAUGCGCUUUUCUAUCAAUUGCUCGGCAGUAAUUUGUUCACCCACCGUAAUACAUGCUAUCAUGAGAGAAGCCACUAGUGAAACCUAUGGCCCUCGGGUCUAUUUUAUAUCAUAUAAGCUUCUAAUCUAAAAUUCUAGUUUACUAUUUAUUUUAUUUUGCAAUCUUUACUUUUCAAUCUAUACAACAAAAAUACCAAAAAUAUUUAUCUUAUUAUUAUUAUCAGAUCUCACUUUUGCAAGUGGUCGUGAAGGGAUUGACAACCCCUUUAUCGCAUUGGUUGCAAGGUUCUUGAUUGUUUGUGCAGGUAUUAGGUGACUUGCAUGUUAUCUCCUACUGGAUUGAUACCUUGGUUCUCAAAAAACUGAGGGAAAUACUUACGCUACUUUGCUGCAUCACCCUUUCCUCUUCAAGGGAAAACCAACACAUGCUCAAGAGGUAGCAGUGCUAUGAUUGCUGCUCUGCUCCCCAAAAGGAUUAAUGCCAUCUACACUUAGACGAAACCAUAAGUUCCUUGCGUCAUCUACAAAGUCCUCCCACUUUCUCUCGAUUUUUCUCCACUGCGACCGUCAGCGGGUACUCUCAACUUUCCAUCUUUCUUACGGUCUUCUUUGUCCCAUCGCAUCAACUUGACAUGCUCUUUGUUUUGGAACAAACGUUUCAACCGUGGUAUUAUAGGAGCAUACCACAUCACCUUGGCAGGAAUCUUCUUCCUGGGGUGCUCACCCUCAACAUCACCAGGGUCAUCGCGGCUGAUCUUAUAGCGCAUUGCACCGCAUACCAGUCAUGCAUUCAAAUCAUUAUACUCACCGCGGUAGAGGAUGCAGUCAUUAGGGCAUGCAUGUAUCUUCUGCACCUCUAAUCCUACAGGGCACACAUCCUUCUUUGCUUUGUACAUACUGUCGGGCAAUUCGUUGUCCUUUGGAAGCAUCUUCUUUAACAUUAUCUGUAACUUUUCAAAUCCCUUGUCAGAUACACCAUUCUCUGCCUUCCAUUGCAGCAAUUCCAGGGUGGUGCCUAGCUUUUUCUUGUCAGCUUCGCAAUUUGGGUACAACAAUUUCUUGUGAUCCUCUAACAUGCGUCGCAAUUUCAGCCUCUCCUUUUCACUUGCGCAGUUUCUCUUUGCAUCGGCAAUGGCCCGACCAAGAUCAUCAGCGGGCUCAUCCGAUGCCUCUUCUUCAGCUUCUUCCCGCAUUGCCGGUUCAGCUUCUUCCCCCAUUGUUGUACCAUAGUAUUCAGGGAACCCAUGUCUAGGAUAGCCUUUGUCAUCCUCUUCUUCUUUAUUCUCUUCCAUUAGGACCCCUCUUUCUCCGUGCUUGGUACAGCAGUUAUAGCCGGACAUGAAACCGGACUCAAACAGGUGGAUGUGAAUGGUUGUCGAGUUAGAGUAAUUUCAAUCAUUCUUACAGUCAGCACAUGGACAACACAUAAAACCAUCCGGUCGCUUGUUUGCCUCAGUCGUAAUCAGAAAAGUAUGCACGCCAUUAAUGAACUGGGGAGAGCAUCGGUCAUCGUACACCCAUUGCCGGCUCAUCUUCAUUACACAACACCGAAAAGACCAAAUUAAUACAAGUUCAUACAUAAAGUUCAUACACACUUAUUCUCAUAAAACAACAUACAAACUCUCUAGCCAAAGCAUUUAAAUGCAACAACAAAUGCGAUCAAGAUUGCAACUAAGGUAACAAUUGAUCCAACAACAUAAUGAUACCAAGCCUCACUAUCAAUGGUAGAUUUUCUAAUCUUUCUAAUCUUCGAGCGCAUUGCAUCCAUCUUGAUUUUGUGAUCAUCGACGACAUCGGCAACAUGCAACUCCAAUUCCAUCUUCUCCUACUCAAUUUUUUUCAAAAAAAAUUUCAAGUAAUUGUUUUCUUUUUCAACUAAAUUUAACCUCUCGAGAAGAGGUCGGUUGGAAUUUCCGGUUGACAUACCUCCUAGAUAAAAAUAUCUAUGUCAACUUGAUGGGCAUAAUUUAUCAUAAACUUGAAAUGCAACAAAUACUAAUAAACAGAAUAUACCACAUUCGAAUCAUAAACCGGACGAGGGCCGACGGGGACGGAUAUCAAAACCAUGCCACUAUGUAUAACAAACAACAUACCGGUAAGAAAAUUAUACAAGUAACUAUCUAAAUCACACAAACAUGAAUUUUCUAUAAGAAGGAUAAGAACAAGAGGCUCAUUAAGGUGGUGCCGACGACGAGGCGAUGCGGGCAAUCGACGGUGGUUAGAAUGGGGACGGGAAGGCACUAAGUAAACCACACCUACACAUGCAAACUAAGAAGUUAAUUUGAGCUCAAAUUGCAUAUAAAUCAAAUAAACUACCACAUAUAAAUACUCCCAAACUAAAACCCACAAAUCACUAUACCUAUAGAGCAUUGCAAGAGCUAAUCUAGCAAUGAGAGAUGAAAUGACAAAGUUGCUAACCUUUGUGAACACUUGGAUGGAUGGGGUCCUUCAAACCUUGACAAUUUUUCGCAAAAAUGUUGGAUGAGCUCGAGCAAGAGCGGAAGAACAAAGAGCUCGGGCUCGAUGAAGGGUUUAUAUAGGAGCAUCUUUACUCUCGGUUGGUUAUACAAACCGAGACUAAAGGUGCAUCUAUAGUCCCGGUUUGUGACACGAACCAGGACUAAAUGUGCCAGUGGGCCCCUAGCCUGACACAAGCCUGCCACCACACCUUUAGUCCCGGUUUGUGUCACGAACCGGUGCUAGAGGUUCAACACGAACCGAGACUAAUGAUUCCCGCCCCCCUAGUCAUUGGAACCGGCACUAAUGGUCACAUUAAUACCGGUCCAUUUACAAACCGGGACUAAUGUGGCUCACGUAAAGUAGUUUUUCUACUAGCGUGAGUUUGUUUUCAUGUCUCAAGUUGUGCAAAUCUUUUCUAGCCAUCGGAGUGGUUGCAUAAUUUCAUUUUGUAGGACAAAAUUGCGCAAGACAUGUACAAAGACAUGGAAGCUUCCAUUAAUAAGGCAUUUGAACUAGAGCAUUGUUGGGAACUCUCAAGGAAAGCGAGAAGUGGAAGUUGAUUGACAAACAAUCCCCGCCGAAGAGAGGUGCUCUCACCAAGAUUGAUGAUGAUGAAGAUGAAGAUGACGAUGGCCCAAGAAACAAGAACAAGCUCGAUGGAAACAAAAAGGCCAAGGACAAGAUCAGGAAGGAAGCGGGGGCCUAAAGCUUGCGGGACAACCUAGAUCACAUGGUCAAGUCCAAUGAACUAUUGGUGAUCAAGACAUUGGAGGCAAAAAAUGACUUGGCCGAGAAGAAGGCUCAAGAGAAGCAAGAGAAGUGGCAACUACUCAAGUAGGAGACCAUGUGCAAGACCGCCAUUGAGGAGAGAAGAGGCAUGGCCGACGAGAACAAAGCCAUGUCCAAGCUUCUUGCCGAGGAAAACAAGAUCAUGAUGAUGAAUCGAAAUGAGAUGAAUUAGGUCACCAAAGAAUGGCAUGGCAUUGCAAGGUUGGAGAUCUUGGAGAGGAGGAGGAUAGCCGCAAGAGGCCAUGCGGUGCCAAUGUUCGGUGGUGGUUCGGCAAGUGGUGUUGCCAAUGGUGGCGGUGAAGAUUUCAUCUUGUCAUGAUGGUGAUGGAGUGAUGAUGGCUGUGAUGUUUUUUGAGUUUUGGUGCGAAAACUAUGUUCAAAUAUCGCCAAAACUGUGUUUGAAUUCUUCGAAUUUGUGCUUUAUUUGUUAAUAUCAUGGUCAAUUGCAUGGUGUGGUUUUACGAUUUGAGGAGCAAAGAAUGUUCACUUUUACCACUCGACUUUGCGGGCUCUGUUCAGCCGCAGCCGAUUUCGGCCCUUAAAACGCGAUUUUCUCGUGUCUUAUCCCGGUUAUUGAAGGAAAUAUGCCCUAGACGCAAUAAUAAAGUUGUUAUUUAUAUUUCCUUGUAUCAUGAUAAAUGUUUAUUAUUCAUGCUAGAAUUGUAUUAACCGGAAACUUAGUACAUGUGUGAAUACAUAGACAAACAGAGUGUCCCUAGUAUGCCUCUACUUGACUAGCUCAUUAAUCAAAGAUGGUUAAGUUUCCUAGUCAUGGACAUGUGUUGUCAUUUGAUGAACAGGAUCACAUCAUUAGAGAGUGAUGUGAUGGACAAGACCCAUCCGUUAGCUUAGCAUAAUGAUCGUUCAGUUUUAUUGCUACUGCUUUCUUCAUAACUUAUACAUGUUCCUCUGACUAUGAGAUUAUGCAACUCUCGAAUACCGGAGGAACACCUUGUGUGCUAUCAAACGUCACAACAUAACUGGGUGAUUAUAAAGAUGCUCUACAUGUGUCUCUGAUGGUGUUUGUUGAGUUGGCAUAGAUCAAGAUUAGGAUUUGUCACUCCGUGUAUCGGAGAAGUAUCUCUGGGCCCUCUCGACAAUGCACAUCACUCUAAGCCUUGCAAGCAUUGUGACUAAUGAGUUAGUUGUGGGAUGAUGCAUUACAGAACGAGUAAAGAGACUUGCCGGUAACGAGAUUGAACUAGGUAUGAGGAUACCGACGAUCGAAUCUCGGGCAAGUAACAUACCGAUGACAAAGGGAACAACAUGUAUCAUUAUGCGGUUUGACCAAGAAAGAUCUUCGUAGAAUAUGUGGGAGCCAAUAUGAACAUCCAGGUUCCGCUAUUGCUUAUUGACCGAAGACGUGUCUCGGUCAUGUCUACAUAGUUCUCGAACCCAUAGGGUCCGCACGCUUAAUAUUCGGUGACGAUUGGUAUUAUGAGUUUAUGUGUUUUGAUAUACCUAAGUUUGUUCGGAGUCCCGGAUGAGAUCGGGGACAUGACGAGGAGUCUCGAAAUGGUCGAGACGUAAAGAUCGAUAUAUUGGAAGGCUACAUUCGGACAUCGGAAAGGUUCCGAGUGAUUCGGGUAUUUUUCGGAGUACCGAAGAGUUACGGGAAUUCGUAUUGGGCCUUAAUGGGCCAUACGGGAAAGGAGAGAAAGGCCUCAAGGGUGGCCGUGCCCCUUCCCCAUGGACUGGUCCGAAUUGGACAAGGGAAAGGGGGCGCCCCCUUCCUUCCUUCUCCUUCUCCCUUCCCUUUUUCCUAUUCCAUGUGCGAGGUGGAAUCCUACUAGGACUAGGGAGUCCUAGUAGGGCUCGACACUUUGGGCGCGCCCUAUGAGGGCCGGCCUCCUCCUCCCUCCAUCCUUUAUAUACGUGGCCAGGGGCACCCCAUAGACACACAAGUUGAUCAUUGAUCUCUUAGCCGUGUGCGGUGCCCCCCUCCACCAUAAUCCACCUCGGUCAUAUCGUAGCGGUGCUAAGGCGAAGCCCUGUUCCGGUAGCAUCAUCAUCACGGUCAUCACGCCGUCGUGCUGACGAUGCUCUCCCUCGACAUUCUGCUGGAUCGUGAGUUCGUGGGACGUCAUCGAGCCGAACGUGUGCAGAUCGCGGAGGUGUCAUACUUUCGAUACUAGGAUCGGUCGAUCGUGAAGACGUAUGACUACAUCAACCGCGUUGUCAUAACGCUUCCACUUACGGUCUACGAGGGUGCGUGGACAACACUCUCCCUGUCGUUGCUAUGCAUCACCAUGAUCUUGCAUGUGCGUAGGAAUUUUUUUUAAAUUACUGUGUUCCCCAACAGUGGCAUCCGAGCCAGGUAUAUGCGUAGAUGUUAUAUGCACGAGUAGAACACAAAGGAGUUGUGGGUGUGGGUAUAUACAUAUUGCUUGCCGUCACUAGUUGAUUCUUGAUUCGGCGGUAUUGUUGGAUGAAGCGGCCCAGACCGACAUUACGCGUACGCUUACACGAGACUGGUUCUACCGACGUGCUUCGCACACAGGUGUCUGGUGGGUGUCAGUUUCUCCAACUUUAGUUGAAUCGGAUUCAAUGAAAAGGGUUCUUUAUGAAGAUGAAAAAGCAAUCACUAUACCGUGUUGUGGUUUUUGAUGCGUAGGUAAGAACGGUUCUUACUCAGCCCGUAGCAGCCACGUAAAACUUGCAACAACAAAGUAGAGGACGUCUAACUUGUUUUUGCAGGGCUUGUUGUGAUGUGAUAUGGUCAAGAAGUGAUGAGAUAUAAGUUAUUGUAUGAGAUGAUCAUGUUUUGUUAAAGUUAUCGGCAACUGGCAGGAGCCUUAUGGUUGUCUCUUUAACGCAUAAGAUGCAAGCGCCAUAUAAUUGCUUUACUUUAUCGCUAUGCGAUAGUAAUAGUUGCAAAAGCAAUAGUUGGUGAGACGACCAUGUGACGAUACGUUCAUAGAGAUCAAGAUGAUGGAGAUCAUGGUGUCAUGCCGGUGACGAUACAGAUCAUGACGGUGUUUUGGAGAUGGAGAUCAAAGGCACAAGAUGAUGAUGGCCAUAUCAUGUCACAUAUUUUGAUUGCAUGUGAUGUUUAUCCUUUAUGUAUCUUCUUUUGCUUAGUUUUGCGGCAGCAUUAUAAGAUGAUCUCUCACUAAAUUUCAAGGUAUAAGUGUUCUCCCUGAGUAUGCACCGUUGCGAUAGUUCAUCGUGCCGAGACACCACGUGAUGAUCGGGUGUGAUAAGCUCUACGUUCACAUACAACGGGUGCAAGCCAAUUUUGCACACGUGGAAUACUCGGGUUAAACUUGACGAGCCUAGGAUAUGCAGAUAUGGCCUCGAAACACUGGAGACCAAAAGGUCAAGCGUGAAUCAUAUAGUAGAUAUGAUCGACAUAGUGAUGUCCACCAUUGAAAACUACUCCAUCUCACGUGAUGAUCGGACGUGGUUUAGUUGAUUUGGAUCACGUGAUCAUUUAGAUGACUAGAGGGAUGUAUAUCUAAGUGGGAGUUCUUAAGUAAUAUGAUUAAUUGAACUUUAAUUUAUCAUGAACUUAGUCUUGAUAGUAUUUGCAUAACUAUGUUGUAGAUCAAUAGCUCGCAAUGUAGCUCCCCGUUUAUUUUUGAUAUGUUCCUAGAGAAAAACUAUGUUGAAAGAUGAUAGUAGCAAUGAUGCGAACUAGGUUCAUGAUCUAAGGAUCAUCCUCAUUGCUGCAUAGAAGAAUUAUGUCCUUGAUGCACCACUAGGUGACAGGCCUAUUGCAGGAGUAGAUGCACACGUUAUGAACGUUUGACAAAGCUCGGUAUGAUGACUACUUAAUAGUUUAGUGCACCAUGCUUUAUGGCUUAGAACCGGGACUUCAAAAAUGUUUUGAAUGCCACGGAACAUAUAAGAUGUUCUAAGAGUUGAAAUUGGUAUUUCAUACUCAUGCCCGUGUCGAGAGGUAUGAGACCUUUGACAGUACUUUGCCUACAAGGUGGAGGAGAAUAGCUCAACCAGUGAGCAUGUGCUCAGAUUGUCUGGGUACUACAAUUGCUUGAAUCAAGUGGGAGUUAAUCUUCAGAAUAAGAUAGUAAUUGAUAAAGUUCUCUAGUCACUACCACCAAGUUACUAGAACUUAGUGAUGAACUAUAAUAUGCAAGGGAUGAUGAAAGUAAUUCCCAAGCUCUUCACGAUGCUGAAAUCGGUGAAGGUAGAAAUCAAGAAAUAGCAUCAAGUGUUGAUGGUUAACAAGACCACUAGUUUCAAGAAAAGGGCAAAGGGAAAGAAAGAGGAACUUCAAAGAAAAAAGGCAAGCAAGUUGCCACUCCCAUGAAGAAGCUCAAAGCUAGACCUGAUACGUCUCUGUCGUAUCUACUUUUCCAAACACUUUUGCCCCUGUUUUGAACUCUAACUUGCAUGAUUUGAAUGGAACUAACCCGGACUGACGCUGUUUCAGCAGAAUUGCCAUGGUGUUACUUUGUGCAGAAAUAAAAGUUCUCGGAAUGACCUGAAAACUAACGGAGAAUUAUUUUGGAAUAUAUAAAAAAUACUGGAAGAAAGAUCCAUGUCAGGGGGGCUCCACCUGUCCACGAGGGUGGGGGCGCGCCCUACCCCCCUGGGCGCGCCCCCCUGCCUUGUGGGCCCCCUGACGCUCCACCGACCUCAACCUUGACUCCAUAUAUUCACUUUCGGGGAGAAAAAAUAGAGAGAAGGAUUCAUCGCAUUUUACGAUACGGAGCCGCCGCCAAGCCCUAAACUCUCUCGGGAGGGCUGAUCUGGAGUCCGUUCGGGGCUCCGAAGAGGGGAAUCCGUCGCCAUUGUCAUCAUCAACCUUCCUCCAUCACCAAUUUCAUGAUGCUCACCGCCGUGUGUGAGUAAUUCCAUCGUAGGCUUGCUGGACGGUGAUGGGUUGGAUGAGAUUUAUCAUGUAAUCGAGUUAGUUCUGUUAGGGUUUUAUCCCUAGUGUCCACUAUGUUCUGAGAUUAAUGUUGCUAUGACUUUGCUAUGCUUAAUGCUUGUCACUAGGGCCCAAGUGCCAUGAUUUCAUAUCUGAACCUAUUAUGUUUUCAUCAAUAUAUGAGAAUUCUUGAUCCUAUCUUGCAAGUCCAUAGUCACCUAUUAUGUGUUAUGAUCCUGCAACCCCAAAGUGACAAUAAUCGGGACCACUCCCAGUGAUGACCGUAGUUUGAGGAGUUCAUGUAUUCACUAUGUGUUAAUGCUUUGUUCCGGUACUCUAUUAAAAGGAGGCCUUAAUAUCCCUUAGUUUCCAUUAGGACCCCACUGCCACGGGAGGGUAGGACAAAAGAUGUCAUGCAAGUUCUUUUCCAUAAGCACGUUUGACUAUAUUCGGAAUACAUGCCUACAUUACAUUGAUGAACUGGAGGUAGUUCUGUGUCACCCUAGGCUAUGACUGUUACAUGAUCGAUCGCAUCCGGCAUAAUUCUCCAUCACCGAUCCAAUGCUUACGAGCUUUUCAUAUAUUGUUCUUCGCUUAUUUACUUUUCCGUUGCUACUAUUACACUCACUACAAAACCCAAAAAUAGUACUUUUGCUGCCAUUACCUUUUGCCACCGUUACCACUACUAUCAUAUUACUUUGCUACUAAAUACCUUGCUGCAGAUAUUAAGUUUCCAGGUGUGGUUGAAUUAACAACUCAGCUGUUAAUACUUGAGAAUAUUCUUUGGCUCCCCUUAUGUCGAAUCAAUAAAUUUGGGUUGAAUACUCUACCCUCGAAAACUGUUGCGAUCCCCUAUACUUGUGGAUUAUCAAGAACAUUUUCUGGCGCCGUUGCCGGGGAGCAUAGCUCUAUUCUUUGAGUCACUUGGGAUUUAUAUCUGCUUAUCAUUAUGAAGAACUUGAAAGAUCAAAGAACCAAGAUUUUUCCCUCAACUACGAGGGGAAGUAAGGAACUGCCAUCUAGCUCUUCACUUGAUUCACCUUCUCUUUUGAGUAAGCUUGCGACACCUAAACCUGCUUCUGCUAUUAAUUCUGAUAUGUCGCAUGUUAUUGACGAUACCACUUCUGCUAUGCAUGAUACUUAUGAUGAAACUACUUCUAUGCUUGAUACUACUGUGCCACUUGGUGAAUUUCUUGAUGAACAACUUUCUAGGGCUAGAGAGAAUGAAAUUAUUGAAACUGAUAAUAUUGAUGAAAGUGAUGAUGAAGAUUCUCCCCCUAGAUAUGAAUUGCCUAUUGUUCCCGAGGGUUAUGUUAUGGAUGAAGAAACUGCUAGAGACUUUCUUGCUUGCAAUGAUAGGAGUGAUCUUAAGAAACUUUUAGCUAAGCUGAAACAAAAAACUUUGAAUGCUAGAAUGAAAUAUGAUCUUGCUAAUGCUACUUCACCUAUCUUUGUUACUGAUAAGGACUAUGAUUUCUCUGUUGAUCCUGAGUUAAUUACUUUGGUUGAAUCUGAUCCUUUCUAUGGCUAUGAAUCUGAAACUGUUGUGGCACAUCUUACUAAAUUAAAUGAUAUAGCCACCUUGUUCACUAAUGAUAAGAAAACUCGCUACUAUUAUAUCCUUAAAUUAUUUCCGUUCUCAUUAAAGGGUGAUGCUAAGAUAUGGUUUAAUUCUCUUGAUCCUGGUUGUGUGCGUAGUCCCCGGGAUAUGAUUUACUACUUCUUUGCUAAAUAUUUCCCCAUUCAUAAGAAACAGGCUGCUUUAAGGGAGAUAUAUAAUUUUGUGAAAAUUUAAGAAGAGAGUCUCCCACAAGCUUGGGGGAGGCUUCUCCAAUUACUUAAUGUUUUUCCUGAUCAUCCUCUCAAGAAAAAUGAAAUACUUGAUAUCUUUUAUAAUGGACUAACCGAUGCUUCCAGAGAUUACCUGGAUAAUUGUGCUGGUUGUGUUUUCAGCGAAAGAACUAUUGAUCAAGCUAAAAUUCUAUUGAAUAAUAUGUUGACCAAUGAAAAUAAUUGGACACUUCCUGAACCAACUCCUAAGCCAACUCCGAAGAAAAGGGGUAUUCUAUUUCUCAGUCCUGAAGAUAGGCAAGAGGCAAAGAAAUCUAUGAAAGAAAAAGGUAUUAAAGCUUAAGAUGAUAAGAAUUUGCCUCCUAUUGAAGAAAUACAUGGUCUUAAUUCAUCACCUAUUGAAAAAACACAUGGUCUCGAUAACCCAACACAGGUAGUAAAGGUAAAUUCUCUCUAUAGAUAUGAUAAAGCUGAAAUCCCUCCUGCUAAGUAUGCUAGCCAAUGUUUGGAUGAAUUUGAUAACUUUAUGGUUAAACAAGAAGACUUUAAUUCUUAUGUUGCUAGACAAUUGAAACAUAAUGCUUACAUGAUUGAACACUUGAGUGAUUAUAUGGCUAAUGUUAAAGGUGAACUUAAACUUAUUAGUAAACAUGCUUCUAUGGUUACCACUCAAGUAGAACAAGUACUUAAAGCUCAGAAUGAUUUUCUCAAUGAAUUAAAUAAUAAGAAUGAUAAUGUUGUUAGAGUUAUGACUAGAGGUGGUAAAAUGAUUCAGGAGCCUUUGUAUCUUGAGGGCCACCCUAAGAGAAUUGAGCAAGAUUCUCAGAGAACUAAUAUUGAUGCACCUAGUCCAUCUAAAAGGAAGAAAAAGAAAAAUGGUAGGACUUUGCAUGCUUCUAGUGAACCUGUUGUUGACGCACCUGAGAAUCCCAAUGAUAUUUCUAUUUCUGAUGCUGAAACACAGUCUGGUAAUGAACAUGAACCUAGUGAUAAUGUUAAUGAUGAUAUUCAUGUUGAUGCUCAACCUAGUAAUGAUAAUGAUGUAGAGAUUGAACCUGCUGUUGAUCUUGAUAACCCACAAUCAAGAAUCAACGUUAUGAUAAGAGAGACUUUGUUGCUAGGAAGCACGGUAAAGAAAGAGAACCAUGGGUUCAGAAACCCAUGCCUUUUCCUCCUAAACCAUCUAAGAAAAAGGAUGAUGAGGAUUUUGAGCGCUUUGCUGAAAUGAUUAGACCUAUCUUUUUGCGUAUGCGUUUGACUGAUAUGCUUAAAAUGAAUCCUUAUGCUAAAUAUAUGAAAGAUAUUGUUACAAAUAAGAGAAAGAUACCGGAAGCUGAAAUUUCCACCAUGCUUGCUAAUUACACUUUUAAGGGUGGAAUACCAAAGAAACUUGGAGAUCCAGGAGUACCAACUAUACCAUGCUCCAUUAAAAGAAACUAUGUUAAAACUGCUUUAUGUGAUCUUGGAGCCGGUGGUAGUGUUAUGCCUCUCUCCUUAUAUCGUAGACUUGAUUUGAAUAAGUUGACACCUACUGACAUAUCUUUGCAAAUGGCUAAUGAAUCAACUGCUAUACCUGUCGGUAUUUGUGAGGAUGUGCCUGUUGUGGUUGCAAACGUUACUAUUUUAACGGACUUUGUUAUUCUUGAUAUUCCCGAGGACGAUAGUAUGUCUAUUAUUCUUUGAAGACCCUUUUUGAAUAUUGCAGGGGCUGUUAUUGAUUGCACCAAAGGCAAUGUCACUUUUCAUGUUAAUGGUAAUGAGCAUACGGUACACUUUCCGAGGAAACAACCUCAAGUCCACAGUAUCAAUUCUAUUGGAAAAAUUUCAACAAUUACUAUUGGAGGUUUCGAAUUUCGUCUUCCUACUGUCAAGAAGAAAUAUGAUAUUCUUAUUGUUGGGGACAUGCAUAUCCCCGUUGAGGUAACAUAGUGUUAUUCGAAAUUUCUCUGGUUUCAUGUUACUCGAAAUGAGUUUGGUAACAAGACCCGAUCAACCUUGUUAGUGGAUUCCUUUUGAUGAGCAUGAGAUCGAUGAAGUUAGAAAAUACAACUAUCUGUACCCUCUUUUUACUUUCUGUUAUUUAUAUUAAAUAAGGCAAAAUAGUAUAUUCUGUCUGUUUUCUGAAUUAUCAAUGCAAUAAAAAAUACCCCGAAAAUAAAAGUUCUCCAAAUGCCCUGAAAAUUAAAUAUGAUUUUUUUUCUAGAAUAUUUGAGAAUAUUUGGCACUGAGAACACACCAGGGGAGCAGGCACCUGGCCACGAGGGUCCUGGGCGUGCACCCUGCCUCAUGGGCCCACGGUGGCUCCCCUCCACUUAUUCUAGCUACCACACACUCCUUCUUCCUCCCCAAAACAUCACUAGCCAGCUCAAACCCGAGUCCAAGCUCAUCUUGCUGCCAUUUUUGAUCUCCUUGCUCAAAGCUCCAUUCCCAAAACUGCUUUGGGGUAUUGUUCUUUGGUAUGUGACUCCUCCAAUGGUCCAAUUAGUUUUUGUUCUAGUGCUUUAUUAAUUGCAAAUUUUUGCUGCUUAGGUGACCCUGUUCUUGAGCUUGCAUGUCAAAUUUAUAUGGUCAAAAGUAGUUUUAAUGCAUGAUAUAUCCUCUAGGCACUUGUAGGAGUAGUUGCUAUCAAUUUUGUUGAGUUUGGUUCACUUUUAUUAUGAAGUUACUAAAAAUUUCAGUUAUUUUCAAAAAAAGAUGAAGAUAUUUUUGAGGGGCUCAUCGAGCCGAAGCUCGAAGGAUAAACAAAGUGAAGAGAACAAGAAGACCAAGUAUAAUCUCCCUCGCACCACGGAGGCCCGGCCGUGUGAAUGGCCUUGUGAUGAUUUCUUGAGAGCGGCUGGGAUUUAUGAUGAUUUCUAUGAAUUGGAUGAGAAUGCAGGCCUCACCGCCUUCCUCCACGACCAACGCGAACAGUAUCUCUUACUCACCAAUAUCUUUGUGCAAAACUUUCAUUUCCAUGCUAGGAGCUCACCACCUACGGUGGAAUUUUAUUUAUAUGAUGAGCAUAAGGAGAUGUCACUUCGCGAUUUUUGUCGGUUUUGUUUGAUCCCUAUUGAGGGCAGUGUAGAAGAACCACAUCCUGAUGAUGUGGAAGGGUUUAUUGAUACAAUUGCUGUAGGGGAAACGAGGAAACUUUCCGAUGCAAGAAUUACUAGCAUACAUUUUCCUGUUUUACGUUACUUCGCAAUAUUUGCUAGUAGAUGCUUAAUUGGUCGCGGAAACUGUGGCAACCUUAGUGCCCCUGAUAUUGUUAGUUUGUGCCAUGCCUUGUUCCGUGAUGACACAUUUAGUAUGCGAUCUAUUGUUGCAAAGCGGUUAAAUCUUAACCGUACUAAAGGCCCCGUCCUUGGAGGCAUCUUCGCCUCGCGCCUCGCUGCACAUUUUAACAUACCUAUUAGGCAUUAUGAGAAGGAAGAGAAGUUGUUGCCUCCUGUUUUUCUAGACUAUAAGAGUAUGGUAGCACAUGAUUUUAUUGUUAAGAAUAAGGAAAAGAUGCUUAAGUACAAGAUGAUAUUUGAUAAAAAUCACCCUGAGACUAUUACUUUGCCUGCUCCUUCCUUGUUUGACUUAUCUGCAGGCAAGUACCUUGUUCCGCCGGAGGCCAUUCACGCCUACCGAAACCCCACACCAGCUACAGAGCUAGAGCCGGAACCACAAUUUGAUCCUCACCAGCAGUCUGUUUAUCAGUGGAACCCGGAAGAGAUCGCCAAUCAGUGGCACCAGGGGGAUUCUUCUCAGUACGACCCCAACUAUUACUUUGGAUAUCCGCCAGGCCAACCGUGGCCAUAGGCCAACUUAGGCCAAAAGCCUAAGCUUGGGGGAGUACGUAUUUCUCACCGACAUUACAUUUACAUUCACACACUGAUGCUAGUUGUCGGUGCUCAUACUUUUUCAUUGUAUCAUCCAUGCUAGUUUAUUUCCCUUUAUAUGCUUUCUUCUUGUGUGUUUGAUAAACCUUAAGAAAAACAAAAAAUAUAGUUGUAGCCUUUAGUUAGUUUACUUUCCAUGCCUGUAGUAGUAGUAAUUAAAAAGAAAACCCAAAAAGAUUUCUCAUUCUUCUUUUCCUUGUUGGGAGCUUUCCCGUGUAAAUAGUUUUAUUUCUCUCUUAUUCUUUGGGGGUUGAGAGGAGAAGACCAUAAUGAAAAUGUUAAAGUGGCUCUCAUAUGCAUUAUUGUUGAUCUAACAAAGAGCCCAUAUUACCUUGUCUUCUCUCUUGAACUGAAUGCUUGCAGGUUCCAGCUGAAGGAAAUAUGCUCUAGAGGCAAUAAUAAAGUUAUUAUUUAUUUCCUUAUAUCAUGAUAAUGUUGGAAAUAUGCCCUAGAGGCAAUAAUAAAAUGGUUAUUAUUAUAUUUCUUUGUUCAUGAUAAUUGUCUAUAAUUCAUGCUAUAAUUGUGUUAUCCGGAAGUCGUAAUACAUGUGUGAAUACAUAGACCACAACACGUCCCUAGUGAACCUCUAGUUGACUAGCUCGUUAAUCAAAAGAUAGUCAUGGUUUCCUGACUAUGGACAUUGGAUGUCAUUGAUAACGGGACCACAUCAUUAGGAGAAUGAUGUGAUGGACACGACCCAAUCCUAAGCAUAACUCAAAGAUCGUGUAGUUCGUUUGAUAUAACUUUUCCGAAUGUCAAGUAUCAUUUCCUUAGACCAUGAGAUUGUGCAACUCCCGGAUACCGUAGGAGUGCUUUGGGUGUGCCAAACGUCACAACGUAACUGGGUGACUAUAAAGGUACACUACGGGUAUCUCCGAAAGUGUCUAUUGGGUUGGCACGAAUCGAGACUUGGAUUUGUCACUCCGUAUGACGGAGAGGUAUCUCCGGGCCCACUCGGUAAUGCAUCAUCAUAAUGAGCUCAAUGUGACCAAGUGGUUGAUCACGGGAUCAUGCAUUAUGGUACGAGUAAAGUGACUUGCCGGUAACAAGAUUGAACAAGGUAUUGGGAUACUGACGAUAGAGUCUCGGGCAAGUAACGUAACGAUUGACAAAGGGAAUUGUAUAUGGAUUGAUUGAAUCCUCGACAUCAUGGUUCAUCCGAUGAGAUCAUCGAGGAGCAUGUGGGAUCCAACAUGGGUAUCCAGAUCCCGCUGUUGGUUAUUGACCGGAGAGUCGUCUCGGUCAUGUCUGUGUGUCUCCCGAACCCGUAGGAUCUACACACUUAAGGUUCAGUGACGCUAGGGUUGUUGAGAUAUUAGUAUACAGUAACCUGAAAGUUGUUCGGAAUCCCGGAUGAGAUCCCGAACGUCACGAGGAGUUCCGGAAUGGUCCAGAGGUGAAGAUUUAUAUAUAGGAAGUCAAGUUUCGACCAUCGGGGAGGUUUUCGGGGUAAUGGGUAUAGUACCGGGACCACUGGAAGGGUCCCGGGGGUCCACCGGGUGGGGACACCUAUCCCGGAGGGCCCCAUGGGCUGAAGUGGGAGGAGAACCAGCCCCUAGUGGGCUGGUGCGCCCCCAAUGGGCCUCCCCCUGCGCCUAGGGUUGGAAACCCUAGGGGUGGGGGGCGCCCCACUUGGCUUGGGGGGCACUCCACCCCCCUUGGCCGCCGCCCCCCAUUGGAGAUUCAAUCUCCUAGGGCCGGAUCCCCCACCUAGGGGUCCUAUAUAUAGUGGGGGGAGUGAGGGCAGCCGCACCCUAACCACAGGCGCCUCCCUCUCCCUCCCGUGACACCUCUCCUUCUCGCAGUGCUCGGCGAAGCCCUGCCGAGAUCGCCGUAGUUUCCACCACCACGCCGUCGUGCUGCUGGACCUCCAUCAACCUCUCCUUCCCCCUUGCUGGAUCAAGUUGGAGGAGAUGUCUUCCCAACCGUACGUGUGUUGAACGCGGAGGUGUCGUCCGUUCAGCACUAGGUCAUCGGUGAUUUGGAUCACGACGAGUACGACUCCAUCAACCCCGUUCUCUUGAAUGCUUCCGCUCGCGAUCUACAAGGGUAUGUAGAUGCACUCCUCUCUCCCUCGUUGCUAGAUGACUCCAUAGAUUGAUCUUGGUGAUGCGUAGAAAAUUUUAAAAUUCUGCUACGUUCCCCUACAGUGGCAUCGUGAGCUAGGUCUAUGCGUAGUUUCUAUGCACGAGUAGAACACAAAGCAGUUGUGGGCGUCGAUAUUGUCAAUUUACUUGUCGUUGCUAGUCUUAUCUUGAUUCGGCGGCAUCGUGGGAUGAAGCGGCCUGGACCGACUUUACACGUACGCUUACGUGAGACUGGUUCCACCGAUUGACAUGCGCUAGUUGCAUAAGGUGGCUGGCGGGUGUCUGUCUCUCCCACUUUAGUCUGAUCGGAUUCGAUGAAAAGGGUCCUUAUGAAGGGUAAAUAGAAAUUGGCAUAUCACGUUGUGGUUUUGGCGUAGGUAAGAAACGUUCUUGCUAGAAACCUAUAGCAGCCACGUAAAAACUUGCAACAACAAUUAGAGGACGUCUAACUUGUUUUUGCAGCAAGUGCCAUGUGAUGUGAUAUGGCCAAAAGGAUGUGAUGAAUGAUAUAUGUGAUGUAUGAGAUUGAUCAUGUUCUUGUAAUAGGAAUCACGACUUGCAUGUCGAUGAGUAUGACAACCGGCAGGAGCCAUAGGAAUUGUCUUAAUUUAUUUAUGACCUGCGUGUCAACAUAAAUGUCAUGUAAUUACUUUACUUUAUUGCUAAAGCGUUAGCCAUAGUAGUAGAAGUAAUAGAUGACGAGACAACUUCAAGAAGACACGAUGAUGGAGAUCAUGAUGAUGGACAUCAUGGUGUCAUGACGGUGACAACAAUGAUCAUGGAGCCUCGAAGAUGGAGAUCAAAAGGAGCAAAUUAUAUUGGCCAUAUCAUGUCACUAUUUGAUUGCAUGUGAUGUUUAUCAUGUUUUACAUCUUAUUUGCUUAGAACGACGGUAGCUUAAAUAAGAUGAUCCCUCAUACUAAUUUCAAGAAAGUGUUCCCCUAACUGUGCACCGUUGCGAAGGUUCGUUGUUUCGAAGCACCACGUGAUGAUCGGGUGUGAUAGAUUCUAACGUUCGAAUACAAUGGGUGUAAGCCAGAUUUACACACGCAAUACACUUAGGUUGACUUGACGAGCCUAGCAUGUAUAGACAUGGCCUCGGAACACGGAAGACCGAAAGGUCGAGCAUGAGUCGUAUAGAAGAUACGAUCAACAUGAAGAUGUUCACCGAUGUUGACUAGUCCGUCUCACGUGAUGAUUGGACAUGGCCUAGUUGACUCGGAUCAUGUUUCACUCAGAUGACUAGAGGGAUGUCUAUCUGAGUGGGAGUUCAUUGAAUAAUUUGAUUAGAUGAACUUAAUUAUCAUGAACUUAGUCUAAAAUCUUUACAAUAUGUCUUGUAGAUCAAAUGGCCCACGUUGUCCUCAACUUCAACGCGUUCCUAGAGAAAACCAAGCUAAAAGAUGAUGGCAGCAACUAUACGGACUGGGUCCGGAACCUGAGGAUCAUCCUCAUAGCUGCCAAGAAAGAUUAUGUCCUAGAAGCACCGGUAGGUGACGCACCCAUCCCAGAGAACCAAGACGUUAUGAAUGCUUGGCAGUCACGUGCUGAUGAUUACUCCCUCGUUCAGUGCGGCAUGCUUUACAGCUUAGAACCGGGGCUCCAAAAGCGUUUUGAGCAACACGGAGCAUAUGAGAUGUUCGAAGAGCUGAAAAUGGUUUUCCAAGCUCAUGCCUGGGUCGAGAGAUAUGAAGUCUCCAACAAGUUCUUCAGUUGUAAGAUGGAGGAAAACAGUUCUGUCAAUGAGCACAUACUCAAAAUGUCUGGGUUGCAUAAGCGCUUGACUCAGUUGGGAGUUAAUCUCCCGGAUGACGCGGUCAUUGACAGAAUCCUUCAGUCGCUUCCACCGAGCUACAAGAGCUUUGUGAUGAACUUCAAUAUGCAGGGGAUGGAAAAGACCAUUCCUGAGGUAUAUUCAAUGCCGAAAUCAGCGGAGGUGGAAAUCAAAAAGGAACAUCAAGUGUUGAUGGUGAAUAAAACCACUAAGUUCAAGAAAGGCAAGGGUAAAAAGAACUUCAAGAAGGAUGGCAAGGGAGUUGCCGCGCCCGGUAAGCAAGCUGCCGGGAAGAAGUCAAAGAAUGGACCCAAGCCUGAGACUGAGUGUUUUUAUUGCAAGGGAAGUGGUCACUGGAAGCGGAACUACCCCAAAUACUUAGCGGACAAAAAGGCCGGCAACACUAAAGGUAUAUGUGAUAUACAUGUAAUUGAUGUGUACCUUACCAGUACUCGUAGUAGCUCCUGGCUAUUUGAUACCGAUGCGGUUGCACACAUUUGUAACUCAAAGCAGGAGCUGCGGAAUAAGCGGAGACUGGCGAAGGACGAGGUGACGAUGCACGUUGGGAAUGGUUCCAAGGUCGAUGUGAUCGCCGUUGGCACGCUGCCUCUACAUUUACCUACGGGAUUAGUUUUAAACCUCAAUAAUUGUUAUUUAGUGCCAGCUUUGAGCAUGAACAUUGUAUCAGGAUCUCGUUUAAUUCGAGAUGGCUACUCAUUUAAAUCCGAGAAUAAUGGUUGUUCUAUUUAUAUGAGAGAUAUGUUUUAUGGUCAUGCUCCGCUGGUGAAUGGUUUAUUCUUAAUGAAUCUCGAGCGUAAUGUUACACAUAUUCAUAGUGUGAAUACCAAAAGAUGUAAGGUUGAUAAUGAUAGUCCCACAUACUUGUGGCACUGCCGCCUUGGUCACAUAGGUGUCAAACGCAUGAAGAAGCUCCAUGCAGAUGGACUUUUGGAGUCUCUUGAUUAUGAAUCAUUUGACAUGUGUGAACCAUGCCUCAUGGGUAAAAUGACCAAGACUCCGUUCUAAGGAACAAUGGAGCAAGCAACCAACUUAUUGGAAAUCAUACAUACUGAUGUGUGCGGCCCAAUGAGUGUUGAGGCUCGCGGUGGCUACCGUUAUGUUCUCACCCUCACUGAUGACUUGAGUAGAUAUGGGUAUGUCUACUUAAUGAAACACAAGUCUGGGACCUUUGAAAAGUUCAAGGAAUUUAAGAGUGAGGUUGAGAAUCAACGUGACAGGAAAAUCAAGUUCUUGCGAUCAGAUCGUGAGGGAGAAUACUUGAGUCACGAAUUUGGCACACACUUAAGGAAAUGUGGAAUAGUUUCACAACUCACGCCGCCUGGAACACCUCGGCGUAAUGGUGUGUUCGAACGUCGUAAUCGCACUCUAUUGGAUAUGGUGUGAUCUAUGAUGUCUCUUACCGAUUUACCGCUGUCAUUUUGGGCCUUUGCUUUAGAGACUGCCACAUUCACUUUAAAUAGGGCUCCGUCGAAAUCCGUUGAGAUUAUGGUUUGGGAAGAAACCUAAGCUGUCGUUUCUAAAAGUUUGGGGAUGCGAUGCUUAUGUCAAGAAACUUCAACCUGAAAAGCUCGAACCCAAAUCGGAAAAGUGCAUCUUCAUAGGAUACCCUAAAAAACUAUUGGGUAUACCUUCUACCUCAGAUCCGAAGGUAAGAUCUUUGUUGCCAAGAAUGGAUCCUUUCUAGAGAAAGAGUUUCUCUCAAAAAAAUAAGUGGGAGGAAAGUAGAACUCGAUGAAGUAUUACCUCUUGAACCGGUAAGUGGCGCAGCUCAAGGAAAUGUUCCUGAGGUGCCUGCACCGACUAGAGAGGAAGUUAAUGAUGAUGAUCAUGAAACUUCAGAUCAAGUUUCUACUAAACUUUGUAGGUCCACAAGGACACGUUCCACACUAGAGUGGUACGGCAACCCUGUCCUAGAAAUCAUGUUGUUAGACAACGGUGAACCUUCGAACUAUGAAGAAGCGAUGGCGGGCCCAGAUUCCGACAAAUGGCUGGAAGCCAUGAAAUCCGAGAUAGGAUCCAUGUAUGAAACGAAGUAUGGACUUUGACUGACUUGCCCGAUGAUCGGCGAGCCAUAGAAAAUAAAUGGAUCUUUAAGAAGAAGACAUACGCGGAUGGUAAUGUAACCAUCUAUAAUGCUCGACUUGUCGCUAAGGGUUAUCAACAAGUUCAAGGGGUUGACUACGAUGAGACUUUCUCACCCGUAGCGAAGCUGAAGUCCGUCCGAAUCAUGUUAGCAAUUGCUGCAUUCUAUGAUUAUGAGAUAUGGCAAAUGGACGUCAAAACGGCAUUCCUUAAUGGUUUCCUUAAGGAAGAAUUGUAUAUGAUGCAGCCGGAAGGUUUUGUCGAUCCUAAGAAUGCUUACAAGGUGUGCAAGCUCCAAUGCUCGAUCUAUGGGCUGGUGCAAGCAUCUCGGAGUUGGAACAUUCGUUUUGAUGAGAUGAUCAAAGCGUUUGUGUUUACGCAGACUUAUGGAGAAGCCUGCAUUUACAAGAAAGUGAGUGGGAGCUCUGUAGCAUUUCUCAUAUUGUAUGUGGAUGACAUACUGUUGAUGGGAAAUGAUAUAGAAUUCUUGGAAAGCAUAAAGGCCUACUUGAACAAGUGUUUUUCAAUGAAGGAUCUUGGAGAAGCUUCUUACAUAUUAGGCAUCAAGAUCUAUAGAGAUAGAUCGAGACGCCUCAUUGGUCUUUCACAGAGUACGUACCUUGUCAAGAUAUUGAAGAAGUUCAAUAUAGAUCAGUCAAAGAAGGGGUUCUUGCCUGUAUUGCAAGGUACGAGAUUGAGCACGGCUCAAUGCCCGACCACGGCAGAAGAUAGAGAAAAGAUGAGUGUCGUCCCCUAUGCCUCGGCCAUAGGGUCUAUCAUGUAUGCUAUGUUGUGUACCAGACCUAAUGUAAACCUUGCCGUAAGUUUGGUAGGAAGGUACCAAAGUAAUCCCGGCAUGGAACACUGGACAGCGGUCAAGAAUAUCCUGAAGUACCGGAAGAGGACUAAGGAUAUGUUUCUCAUUUAUGGAGGUGACGAAGAGCUCGUCGUAAAGGGUUACAUCGAUGCUAGCUUCGACACAGAUCUGGAUGACUCAAAGUCACAAACCGGAUACAUGUAUAUUUUUAAUGGUGGGGCAGUAAGCUGGUGCAGUUGCAAGCAAAGCGUUGUGGCGGGAUCUACAUGUGAAGCGGAGUACAUGGCAGCCUCGGAGGCAGCACAAGAAGCAAUCUGGGUGAAGGAGUUCAUUACCGACCUAGGAGUCAUACCCAAUGUGUCGGGCCCGAUGACUCUCUUUUGUGACAAACUGGAGCUAUUCCCUUGCCGAGGAGCCCAGGUUUCACAAGAAGACCAGGCAUAUCAAGCAUCGCUUCAACUCCAUUCGUGAAAGUGUUCAAAAUGGAGACAUAGAUAUUUGUAAAGUACAUACGGACCUGAAUGUGGCAGAUCCGUUGACUAAAACUCUCCCUAGAGCAAAACAUGAUCAACACCAGAACUGCAUGGGUGUUCGAUUCAUCACAAUGUAACUAGAUUAUUGACUCUAGUGCAAGUGGGAGACUGUUGGAAAUAUGCCCUAGAGGCAAUAAUAAAAUGGUUAUUAUUAUAUUUCUUUGUUCAUGAUAAUUGUCUAUUGCUCAUGCUAUAAUUGUGUUAUCCGGAAAUCGUAAUACAUGUGUGAAUACAUAGACCACAACAUGUCCCUAGUGAGCCUCUAGUUGACUAGCUCGUUGAUCAAAAGAUAGUCAUGGUUUCCUGACUAUGGACAUUGGAUGUCAUUGAUAACGGGAUCACAUCAUUAGGAGAAUGAUGUGAUGGACAAGACCCAAUCCUAAGCAUAGCUCAAAGAUCGUGUAGUUCGUUUGUUAUAACUUUUCCGAAUGUCAAGUAUCAUUUCCUUAGACCAUGAGAUUGUGCAACUCCUGGAUACCGUAGGAGUGCUUUGGGUGUGCCAAAUGUCAUAAUGUAACUGGGUGUCUAUAAAGGUACACUACGGGUAUCUCCGAAAGUGUCUAUUGGGUUGGCACGAAUCGAGACUGGGAUUUGUCACUCCGUAUGAUGGAGAGGUAUCUCUGGGCCCACUCGGUAAUGCAUCAUCAUAAUGAGCUCAAUGUGACCAAGUGGUUGAUCACGGGAUCAUGCAUUACGGUACGAGUAAAGUGACUUGCCGGUAACGAGAUUGAACAAGGUAUUGGGAUACCGACGAUCGAGUCUCGGGCAAGUAACGUACCGAUUGACAAAGGGAAUUGUAUACGGAUUGAUUGAAUCAUCGACAUUGUGGUUCAUUCGAUGAGAUCAUCGAGGAGCAUGUGGGAGACAACAUGCGUAUCCAGAUCCCGCUAUUGGUUACUGACCGGAGAGUCGUCUCGGUCAUGUCUGCGUGUCUCCCGAACCCGUAGGGUCUACACACUUAAGGUUCGGUGACGCUAGGGUUGUUGAGAUAUUAGUAUACGGUAACCCAAAAGUUGUUCGGAGUCUCGGAUGAGAUCUCGGACGUCACGAGGAGUUCCGGAAUGGUCCGGAGGUGAAGAUUUAUAUAUAGGAAGUCAAGUUUCGGCCAUCGGGAAGGUUUUCGGGGUAAUCGGUAUUGUACCGGGACCACCGGANNNNNNNNNNNNNNNNNNNNNNNNNNNNNNNNNNNNNNNNNNNNNNNNNNNNNNNNNNNNNNNNNNNNNNNNNNNNNNNNNNNNNNNNNNNNNNNNNNNNNNNNNNNNNNNNNNNNNNNNNNNNNNNNNNNNNNNNNNNNNNNNNNNNNNNNNNNNNNNNNNNNNNNNNNNNNNNNNNNNNNNNNNNNNNNNNNNNNNNNNNNNNNNNNNNNNNNNNNNNNNNNNNNNNNNNNNNNNNNNNNNNNNNNNNNNNNNNNNNNNNNNNNNNNNNNNNNNNNNNNNNNNNNNNNNNNNNNNNNNNNNNNNNNNNNNNNNNNNNNNNNNNNNNNNNNNNNNNNNNNNNNNNNNNNNNNNNNNNNNNNNNNNNNNNNNNNNNNNNNNNNNNNNNNNNNNNNNNNNNNNNNNNNNNNNNNNGGGGUCCUAUAUAUAGUGAGGGGAGGGAGGGCAGCCGCACCCUAACCCCUGGCGCCUCCCUCUCCCUCCCGUGACACCUCUCCUUCUCGCAGUGCUCGGCGAAGCCCUGCCUAGAUCGCCGUAGUUUCCACCACCACGCCGUCAUGCUGCUGGAUCUCCAUCAACCUCUCCUUCCCCCUUGCUGGAUCAAGUUGGAGGAGACGUCUUCCCAACCGUACGUGUGUUGAACGCGGAGGUGCUGUCCGUUCGGCACUAGGUCAUCGGUGAUUUGGAUCACGGCGAGUACGACUCCAUCAACCCCGUUCUCUUGAACGCUUCCACUCGCGGUCUACAAGGGUAUGUAGAUGCACUCCUCUCUCCCUCGUUGCUAGAUGACUCCAUAGAUUGAUCUUAGUGAUGCGUAGAAAAUUUUAAAAUUCUGCUACGUUCCCCUACAGAUAAAUGUUUAUUAUUCAUGCUAGAAUUGUAUUAACCGGAAACAUAAUACAUGUGCGAAUACAUAGACAAACAGUAUGUCACUAGUAUGUCUACAUAGGUUAUUGACCGGAGACGUGUCUUGAUCAUGUCUACAUAGUUCUCGAACCCGUAGGGUCCGCACGCUUAAAGUUUGAUGAUGAUUAUAUUUUGAGUUUAUAUGUUUUGACGUACCGAAGGAGUUCAGAGUCCCGGAUGAGAUCGGGGACAUGACGAGGAGUCUCGAAAUGGUCGAGACGUAAAGAUCGAUAUACUGGACGACUAUAUUCGGACAUCGAAAAGGUUCUGAGUGAUUCGGAUAUUUUCGAGAGUACCGGGGAGUUACGGGAAUUCGUAUUGGGCCUUAAUGGGCCAUACGGGAAAGGAGAGAAAGGCCUCAAAGGGUGGCCGCACCCCUCCCCAUGGGCUGGUCCGAAUUGGACUAGGGAGGGGGGGCGCCCCCUUCCUUCCUUCUCCUUUUUCCUUCCCUUUCCUUCCCUCCUACUCCUACUACUUGGAAGGACUCCUAGUUCUACUAGGAAAGGGGGAAUCCUACUCCCGGUGGGAGUAGGACUCCCCUAGGGCGCGCCAUAGAGAGGGCCGGCCCUCCCCCCUCCACUCCUUUAUAUACGGGGGCAGGGGGCACCCCAAAGACACAACAAUUGAUCUCUUGAUCUCUUAGCCGUGUGCGGUGCCCCCCUCCACCAUAAUCCACCUUGGUCAUAUCAUAGCGGUGCUUAGGCGAAGCCCUGCGUCGGUAGAACAUCAUCAUCGUCACCACGCCGUCGUGCUGACGAAACUCUCCCUCAACACUCGGUUGGAUCGGACUUCGAGGGACGUCAUCGAGUUGAACGUGUGCAGAACUCGGAGGUGCCGUGCAUUCGGUACUUGAUCGGUCGGAUCGUAAAGACGUACAACUACAUCAACCGCGUUGUGCUAACACUUUCGCUUUCGGCCUACGAGGAUACGUGGACAACACUCUCCCCUCUCGUUGCUAUGCAUCACCAUGAUCUUGCGUGUGCGUAGGAAUUUUUUCGAAAUUACUACGUUCCCCAACAGUGGUAUCAGAGCCAUGUUUUAUGCAUUGAUGUAAUAUGCAUGAGUAGAACGCAAGUGGGUUGUGGGCGAUAUAAGUCAUACUGCGUACCAGCAUGUCACACUUUGGUUUGGCGGUAUUGUUGGAUGAAGCGGCCCGGACCGACAUUACGCGUACGCUUACACGAGACUAGUUUUACCGCCGUGCUAUGCACACAGGUGACUAGCGGGUGUCAGUUUCUCCAACUUUAGUUGAACCGAGUGUGGCUACGCCCGAUCCUUGCGAAGGUUAAAACAACACCAACUUGACAAACUAUCGUUGUGGUUUUGAUGCGUAGGUAAGAACGGUUCUUGCUAAGCCCGUAGCAGCCACGUAAAACUUGCUACAACAAAGUAGAGGACGUCUAACUUGUUUUUGCAGGGCAUGUUGUGAUGUGGUAUGGUCAAGACGUGAUGAGAUAUAAGUUGUUGUAUAAGAUGAUCAUGUUUUGUUGAAGUUAUCGGCAACUGGCAGAAGCCUUAUGGUUGUCUCUUUAUUGCAUAAGAUGCAAGCGCCAAAUAAUUGCUUUACUUUAUCGCUAUGCGAUAGCAAUAGUUGCAAGAGCAAUAGUUGGCGAGACGACCAUGUGACGACACAUUGAUAUAGAUCAAGAUGAUGGAAAUCAUGGUGUCAUGCCGGUGACGAUGGAAAUCAUGACGAUGCUUUGGAGAUGGAGAUCAAAGACACAAGAUGAUGAUGGCCAUAUCAUGUCACACAUUUUUUAUUGCAUGUGAUGUUUAUCUUUUAUGCAUCUUAUCUUGCUUUGAUUGACGGUAGCAUUAUAAGAUGAUCUCUCACUAAAUUUCAAGAUAAAAAGUGUUCUCCCUGAGUAUGCACCGUUGCCAAAGUUCGUCGUGCCCAAACACCACGUGAUGAUCGGGUGUGAUAAGCUCUACGUCCAUCUACAACGGGUGCAAGCCAGUUUUGCACACGCAGAAUACUCAGGUUAAACUUGACGAGCCUAGCAUAUGCAGAUAUGGCCUCGGAACACUGAGACCGAAAGGUCGAGCGUGAAUCAUAUAGUAGAUAUGAUCAACAUAGUGAUGUUCACCAUUGAAAACUACUCCAUUUCACGUGAUGAUCGGUUAUGGUUUAGUUGACUUGGAUCGCGUGAUCACUUAGAAUAUUAGAGGGAUGUCUUUCUAAGUGGGAGUUCUUAAGUAAUAUGAUUAAUUGAACUUAAAUUUAUCAUGAACUUAGUCCUGGUAGUAUUAGCAUAUCUAUGUUGUAGAUCAAUAGCUCGCGUUUAGCUCCCCUGUUUUAUUUUUGAUAUGUUCCUAGAGAAAACUAAGUUGAAAGAUGUUAGUAGCAAUGAUGCGGAUUGGAUCCGUGAUCUGAGGUUUAUCCUCAUUGCUGCAUAGAAGAAUUAUGUCCUUGAUGCACCACUAGGUGACAAACCUAUUGCAGGAGCAGAUGCAGAUGUUAUGAACAUUUGGCUAGCUCAAUAUGAUAACUACUUGAUAGUUUAGUGCACCAUGCUUAAAUGGCUUAGAAUCGGGACUUCAAAAACGUUUUGAACGUCAUGGACCAUAUGAGAUGUUCCAGGAUUUGAAGUUAAUAUUUCAAGUAAAUACCCGAGUUGAGAGAUAUGAAGUCUCCAGCAAGUUCUAUAGCUAAAAGAUGGAGGAGAAUAGAUCAAGCAGUGAGCAUGUGCUCAGAUUGUCUGGGUACUACAAUCGCUUGAAUCAAGUGGGAGUUAAUCUUCCAGAUAAAAUAGUGAUUGACAGAAUUCUCUAGUCACCAUCACCAAGUUAGUAGAACUUCGUGAUGAACUAUAAUAUGCAAGGGAUAACGGAAACGAUUCCCAAGCUCUUCGUGAUGCUGAAAUCGACGAAGGUAGAAGUCAAGAAAAGCAUCAAGUGUUGAUGGUAAACAAAACCACUAGUUUUAAGUAAAGGGACAAAGGGAAGAAAGGGGAACUUCAAGAAGAACGGCAACCAAGUUGCCGCUCAAGUGAAAAACCCAAGUCUGGACCUAAGCCUGAAACUGAGUGCUUCUACUGCAAAGGGACUGGUCACUGGAAGCGUAACUACCCCAAGUAAUUGGCGGAUAAGAAGGAUGGCAAAGUGAACAUAGGUAUAUUUGAUAUACAUGUUAUUGAUGUGUACUUUACUAGUGUUUAUAGCAACCCCUCAGUAUUUGAUACUAGUUCAGUUGCUAAGAAUAGUAACUCGAAACGGGAGUUGCAGAAUGAACAGAGACUAGUUAAGGGUGAAGUGACGAUGUGUAUUGGAAAUGGUUCCAGGAUUGAUAUGAUCAUCAUCGCACACUCUCUAUACUUUCGGGAUUAGUGUUAAACCUAAAAUAAAUGUUAUUUAGUGGUUGCGUUACGCAUGAAUAUGAUUGGAUCAUGUUUAUUGCAAUACGGUUAUUCAUGUAAGUUAGAGAAUAAUUGAUGUUCUGUUUACAUGAAUAAAACCUUCUAUGGUCAUACACCCAAUGAAAAUGGUUUUUUGGAUCUCGAUCGUGGUGAUACACAUUUUCAUACUAUUGAAGCCAAAAUAUGCAAAGUUAAUAAUGAUAGUACAACUUAUUUGUGGCACUGCCGUUUAGGUUAUAUUGGUGUAAAGCGCAUGAAGAAAAUUCAUGUUGAUGGGCUUUUGGAAUCACUUGAUUAUGAAUCAGUUGAUGCUUGCGAACCAUGCCUCAUGGGCAAGAUGACUAAGACUCCGUUCUCCGAAACAAUGGAGCGAGCAACAGAUUUGUUGGAAAUCAUACAUACCGAUGUUUGUGGUCCGUUGAGUAUUGAGGCUCACGGCAGGUAUCAUUAUUUUCUGAUCCUCACAGAUGAUUUGAGCAGAUAUGAGUAUAUCUACUUGAUGAAACACAAGUCUAAAACAUUUGAAAAAGUUCAAAGAAUUUCAGAGUGAAGUGGAGAAUCAUCGUAACAAAAAUAAAAGUUUUUACGAUAUGAUCGCAGAAGUAAAAUAUUUAAGUUACGAGUUUGGCCUUCAGUUAAAACAAUGUGAAAUAGUUUCACUACUCACGCCACCUGGAACACCACAGUAUAAUGGUGUGUCCGAACGUCGUAACCCUACUUUAUUAGAUAUGGUGCGAUCUAUGAUGUCUCUUACCAAUUUACCACUAUCGUUUUGGGUUUAUGCAUUAGAGACAGCUACAUUCACAUUAAAAAGGGCACCAUCUAAAUCUGUUGAGACGACACCGUAUGAACUAUGGUUUGGCAAGAAACCUAAGCUGUCGUUUCUUAAGGUUUGAGGUUGCAAUGCUUAUGUGAAAAAGUUUCAACCUGAUAAGCUCAAACCCAAAUCGGAGAAGUGUGUCUUCAUAGGAUACCCAAAAGAAAAAUUUGGGUACACCUUCUAUCACAGACCCGAAGGCAAGAUAUUCAGUGCUGAGAAUGGAUCCUUUCUAGAGAAGGAGUUUCUCUCGAAAGAAGUGAGUGGGAGGAAAGUAGAACUUGAUGAGGUAACUGUACCUGCUCCCUUAUUGGAAAGUAGUUCAUCAUAGAUAUCUGUUCCUGUGACUACUACACCAAUUAGUGAGGAAGCUAAUGAUGAUGAUCAUGUAACUUUAGAUCAAGUUACUACCAAACCUUAUAGGUAAACCAAAGUGAGGUCCACACCAGAGUGGUAUGAUAAUCCUGUUCUGGAGGUCAUUUUACUUGACCAUGACGAACCUACGAACUAUGAGGAAGCGAUGAUGAGCCCAGAUUCCGCGAAAUGGCUUGAGGCCAUGAAAUCUGAUAUGAGAUCCAUGUAUAAGAACAAAGUAUGGACUUUGAUUGACUUGUCCAAAGAUCGGCGAGACAUUGAGAUUAAAUGGAUCUUCAAGAGGAAGACGGACGCUGAUAGUAGUGUUACUAUCUACAAAGCUAGAAUUGUCGCAAAAGGUUUUCGACAAGUUCAAGGUGUUGACUAAGAUGAGAGUUUCUCACUCGUAUCUAUGCUUAAAGUCUGUCCGAAUCAUGUUAGCAAUUGCCACAUUUUAUGAAAUCUGGCAAAUGGAUAAACAAAACUACAUUCCUUAAUGGAUUUAUUAAAGAAGAGUUGUAUAUGAUGCAACCAAAAGGUUUUGUCAAUCCUAAAGGUACUAACAAAAUAUGCAAGCUCCAGCGAUCCAUCUAUGGACUGGUGCAAGCAUCUCGGAGUUGGAAUAUACGCUUUGAUAAGUUGAUCAAAGCAUAUAGUUUUAUACAGACUUGCGGUGAAGCCUGUAUUUACAAGAAAGUGAGUGGGAGCACUACAGCAUUUUUGAUAAGUAUAUGUGAAUGACAUAUUGUUGAUCAGAGAUAAUGUAGAAUUAUUCUGCAAAGCAUAAAGGAAUGUUUGAAAGGAGUUUUUCAAAGAAAGACCUCGGUGAAGUUGCUUACAUAUUGAGCAUCAAGAUCUAUAGAGAUAGAUCAAGACGCUGGAUAAGUUUUUCAAUGAGUACAUACCUUGACAAGAUUUUGAAGUAGUUCAAAAUGGAACAAACAAAGAAGGAGUUCUUGCAUGUGUUACAGGGUGUGAAGUUGAGUAAGACUCAAAACCCAACCACGACAGAAGAUAGAGAGAGAGUGAAAGUCAUUCCCUAUGCCUCGGCCAUAGGUUCUAUAAAGUAUGCCAUGCUGUGUACCAGACCUAUUGUAUACCCUGCCCUGAGUUUGGCAAGGGAGUACAAUAGUGAUCUAGGAGUAGAUCACUGGACAUUGGUCAAAAUUAUCCUUAGUGGAAUAAGGAUAUGUUUCUCGAUUAUGGAGGUGACAAAAGGUUCGUCAUAAAGGGUUACGUCAAUGCAAGUUUUGACACUGAUCCAGAUGACUCAAAGUCUCAAUCUGGAUAAUAUUGAAAGUGGGAGCAAUUAGCUAGAGUAGCUCCGUGCAGAGCAUUGUUGACAUAGAAAUUUGCAAAAUACAUAUGGAUCUGAAUGUAGAAGACCCGUUGACUAAACUUCCCUCACAAGCAAAACAUGAUCACACCUUAGUACUCUUUGGGUAUUAAUCACAUAGCGAUGUGAACUAGAUUAUUGACUCUAGUAAACCCUUUGGGUGUUGUUCACAUGACGAUGUGAACUAUGGGUGUUAAUCACAUGGUGAUGUGAACUAUUGAUGUUAAAUCACAUGGCGAUGUGAACUAGAUUAUUGACUCUAGUGCAAGUGGGAGGCUGAAGGAAAUAUGCCCUAGAGGCAAUAAUAAAGUUAUUAUUUAUUUCCUUAUAUCAUGAUAAAUGUUUAUUAUUCAUGCUAGAAUUGUAUUAACCAGAAACAUAAUACAUGUGUGAAUACAUAGACAAACAGUAUGUCACUAGUAUGCCUCUACUUGACUAGCUCGUUGAAUCAAAGAUGGUUAAGUUUCCUAGCCAUAGACAUGAGUUGUCAUUUGAUUAACGGGAUCACAUCAUUAGAGAAUGAUGUGAUUGACUUGACCCAUUCCGUUAGCAUGGCACUUGAUCAUUUAGUUUGUUGCUAUUGCUUUCUUCAUGACUUAUACAUGUUCCUAUGACUAUGAGAUUAUGCAACUCCCGUUUACCGGAGGAACACUUUUUGAGCUACCGAACGUCACAACGUAACUCGGUAUUAUAAAGGUGCUCUACAGGUGUCUCCAAAGGUACUUGUUGGGUUGGCGUAUUUCGAGAUUAGGAUUUGUCACUUCGAUUGUCGGAGAGGUAUCUCCGGGCCCACUCGGUAAUGCACAUCACUAUAAGCCUUGUAAGCAUUGUAACUAAUGAGUUAGUUGCGGGAUGAUGUGUUACGGAACGAGUAAACAGACUUGCUGGUAACGAGAUUGAACUAGGUAUUGAGAUACCGACGAUCGAAUCCCGGGCAAGUAACAUACCGAUGACAAAGUGAACAAUGUAUGUUGUUAUGCGGUUUGACCGAUAAAGAUCUUCGUAGAAUAUGUAGGAGCCAAUAUGAGCAUCCAGGUUCCGCUAUUGGUUAUUGACUGGAGACGUGUCUCGGUCAUGUCUACAUAGUUCUCGAACCCGUAGGGUCCGCACGCUUAAAGUUCGAUGACGGUUAUAUUAUGAGUUUAUGUGUUUUGAUGUAGCGAAGGAGUUCAGAGUCCCAGAUGAGAUCGGUGACAUGACGAGAAGUCUCGAAAUGGUCGAGACGUAAAGAUCGAUAUAUUGGACGACUAUAUUCAGACAUCGGAAAGGUUCCGAGUAAUUUGGAUAUUUUCGGGAGUACCGAGGAGUUACGGGAAUUCGUAUUGGGCCUUAAUGGGCCAUACGGGAAAGGAGAGAAAGGCCUCAAAGGGUGGCCGCACCCCUCCCAAUGGGCUGGUCCGAAUUGGACUAGGGAGGGGGCGCCCCCUUCCUUCCUUCUCCUUUUCCCUUCCCUUUCCUUCCCUCCUACUCCUACUACUUGGAAGGGCUCCUAGUUCUACUAGGAAAGGGGAAAUCCUACUCCCGGUCGGAGUAGGACUCCCCUAGGGCGCGCCAUAAAGAGGGCCGGCCCUCCCCCUCCUCCACUCCUUUAUAUACAGGGGCAUGGGCACCCCAAAGACACAACAAUUAAUCUCUUGAUAUCUUAGCCGUGUGCGGUGCCCCCCUCCACCAUAAUCCACCUCAGUCAUAUCGUAGCGGUGCUUAGGCGAAGCCCUGCAUCGGUAGAACAUCAUCAUCGUCACCACGCCGUCGUGCUGACGAAACUCUCCCUCAACACUCGGCUGGAUCGGAGUUCGAGGGACAUCAUCGAGUUGAACAUGUGCAGAACUCGGAGGUGCCGUGCGUUUGGUACUUGAUCGGUCGGAUCGUGAAGACGUACAACUACAUCAACCACGAUGUGCUAACGCUUCCGCUUUCGGUCUACGAGGGUACGUGGAAAACACUCUCCCCUCUCGUUGCUAUGCAUCACCAUGAUCUUGCGUGUGCGUAGGAUUUUUUUUUGAAAUUACUACGUUCCCCAACACCAACUUAGUCCGAUGCACGUGCACUAUUAUUAUUAUCCACACUAUUCGGUCGUGCAAGUGAUAGGCAAUAAUGAUGAUAUAUGAUGAACUUAUUGAGAUGAGAAAAACUGGUAUGAACUCGACCUCUCUUGUUUUUGUAAAUGUGAUUAGUUCAUCGUUUCUGAUUCAGCCUAUUAUGAAUAAACAUGUUUGCAAUGACAAUUAGAGAUUAUAGUUGCUUAUGCCAUGCUUAAUUAGCUAGAAGCUUAUAAUGGUUUACCUUGUGUGCCAACAUGCUAUUAAAAUGGUUGUGAUGUGGUAUGAUAGGGUGGUAUCCUCUUUUGAACGAUUCGAGUGGCUUGACUUGGCACAUGUUCACGCAUGUAGUUGAAACAAAAUCAACAUAGCCUCUACGAUAUUCAUGUUCAUGGUGCAUUAUAUCCUACUCAUGCUUGCAUUCGGUGUUGAUUAAUUUUAAUGCAUGUUCAUGACUAUUGUCGCUCUCUAGCUGGUCGCUUCCUAGUCUUUUUCUAGCCUUCACUUGUACUAAGCGGGAAUACUGCUUGUGCAUCCAACUCCAUAAACCCCAAAGUUGUUCCAUAUGAGUCCACCAUACCUGCCUAUAUACGGUAUCUACCUGCCGUUCCAAGUAAAUUUGUAUGUGCCAAACUCUAAUCCUUCAAAUAAACAUUCUAUUUUGUAUGCUCGAAUAGCUCAUGUAUCAACUAGGGAUGUCUGUAUCUUCCAUGCUAGGCGGGUUAUUCUCAAGAGGAGUGGACUCCGCUCCUCACUCACAAGAAAAUGGCUGGUCAUCGGGAUGCCCAGUCCCAUGCUUUAUGCAAAUCAAAUCAAAAUAACUGCAAACAAAACUCCCCCGGGACUCUUGUUAGUUGGAGGCACUCGUUGUUUCGAGCAAGCCAUGGAUUGAUGCUUGUUGGUGGAGGGGGAUUAUAAACUUUACCAUUCUAUUUGGGAACCACCUAUAAUGUGUGUAGCAUGGAAGAUAUCGAGAUCUCUCGGUUGUUAUGUUCACAAAGAAAGUAUACUGCUCAAAAUAUUAUUCAUAUCUAUUUCAAAACUGAGCUCUGGCACCUCUACAAGUCCCUGCUUCCCUCUGCGAAGGGCCUAUCCAUUUACUUUUAUGUUGAGUCAUCAUCCUCUUAUUAAAAAGCACCAGUUGGAGAGCACCGUUGUCAUUUGCAUUCAUUACUGUAAGUUUAUAUUGAGUAUGACUUGACUGGAUCUCUUUUACCAUGAAUUACAAUGUCUAUUCAGUCCUUGAUCUUUAAAGGUGCUCUGCAUUUAUGUUUUGCGGUCUCAGAAAGGGCUAGCGAGAUACCAUCUUGUUAUAUCAUAUCAUGAUUAUUUUGAGAAAGUGUUGUCAUCCGAGAUUUAUUAUUAUUGCUCGCUAGUUGAUUAUGUCAUUGAUAUGAGUAAACAUGAGACCAAAGUGUUACUGUGAUAUGGUUAGUUCAUAAUCUUUGCUGAAAACAUGAAUGUUGGCUUUACAUAUUUACAACAAUAAGAGCAAACAGAGUUUGUAAAAGUUUUUCUUUAUCACUUUCAGUUUAUCAACUGAAUUGCUUGAGGACAAGCAAAGGUUUAAGCUUGGGGGAGUUGAUACAUCUCCGUCGUAUCUACUUUUCCAAACACUUUUGCCCUUGUUUUGGACUCUAACUUGCAUGAUUUGAAUGGAACUAACCCGGACUGACGCUGUUUUCAGCAGAAUUGCCAUGGUGUUAUUUUUGUGCAGAAAUAAAAGUUCUCGGAAUGACCUGAAAAUCAACGGAGAAUUAUUUUGGAAUAUAUAAAAAAUACUAGAAGAAAGAUCCACGUCAGGGGGCCUCCACCUGUCCACGAGGGUGGGGGCGCGCCCUACCCCCCUGGGCGCGCCCCCUGCCUCAUGGGCCCCCUGACGCUCCACCGACCUCAACAUUGACUCCAUAUAUUCACUUUCGGGGAGAAAAAAACCAGAGAGAAGGAUUCAUCGCAUUUUACGAUACGGAGCCGCCACCAAGCCCUAAACUCUCUCGGGAGGGCUGAUCUGGAGUCCGUUCGGGGCUCCGGAGAGGGGAAUCCGUCGCCAUCAUCAUCAUCAACCUUCCUCCACCACCAAUUUUAUGAUGCUCACCUCCAUGUGUGAGUAAUUCCAUUGUAGGCUUGCUGGACGAUGAUGGGUUGGAUAAGAUUUAUCAUGUAAUCGAGUUAGUUUUGUUAGGGUUUUAUCCCUAGUGUCCACUAUGUUCUGAGAUUGAUGUUGCUAUGACUUUGCUAUGCUUAAUGCUUGUCACUAGGGCCCGAGUGCCAUGAUUUCAUAUCUGAACCUAUUAUGGUUUCAUCAAUAUAUGAGAGUUCUUAAUCCUAUCUUGCAAGUCCAUAGUCACCUAUUAUGUGUUAUGAUCCGGCAACCCCGAAGUGACAAUAAUCGGGACCACUCCCAGUGAUGACCGUAGUUUGAGGAGUUCACGUAUUCACUAUGUGUUAAUGCUUUGUUCCGGUACUCUAUUAAAAGGAGGCUUUAAUAUCCCUUAGUUUGCAUUAGGACCCCGCUGCCACGGGAGGGUAGGACAAAAAAUGUCAUGCAAGUUUUUUUCCAUAAGCACCUAUGACUAUAUUCGGAAUACAUGCCUACAUUACAUUGAUGAACUGGAGCUAGUUCUGUGUCACCCUAGGCUAUGACUGCUACAUGAUCGAUCGCAUCCGGCAUAAUUCUCCAUCACCGAUCCAAUGUGAUAGGUGGGAACCCGAUGAACGAGUUCACGCCCGAGGGUGGCCCGAUCUUCAUGUCGUAGGAUCGAAUCGGGAGGGAUAACUAGCUGCAAGCAGCCGGGAUAGCUAGCUUUAUACCUGCCAAGGUUGGAUGCAACCAAUACGUUGGGGAUGGCUGACCGAAGCUAUAAGAACUCCAACCCGCUGUCCGAACAAUCACAGAACCACAAACCGGGACUAAUCCACACAAAACGGCCGGAACCGUAGAGCAUGAACUAGGGGGAACCAGAGGCUCCUUCUCGCGAAUCCGAAUGAACUCACAUGAGCAAAGGUAGCAAGAUCUAUCGGAUCUUUCUAGCAGUCUUGCUGCAUAAGCUUGUAGUUGAAUGGUUUAACAAAAGGUUUCCUAGAGGAUGGGGGAGAUGGGGUUUUAUAGCAAGGACAACCCCCCUUGGCUAGGUGUGAAAGUGGUUUCAAAAGUAAACAGGUUUGCAUGACUUUCUUGGGGGAAUAAGCAGUCAACUUUGGGAUUUGUUGGAGAGCUCCUCGGAAAUUCGCGAAGCCUUGAUAGCCUGAACACCUUCCACGAGAAUGACUACAACUUUUGACUCACAACUCCAAAUGAUGUGAGGUUUUUUGCAUUGGAAAGAUAAUGUGAUGGAGUUUCUGGUGAUGUACCCCUAUGGCCCCGUCUCUCCACCAUAUGGGUGUGGCAAAAAGAAACAUCAGAGGUAAAAUAUGACAGCAUCAGCUUCACUUGAAACUUGUUUUCUCCAAACUUUUUCCUCCAAAGCGGUUGCUCCAAAAGCUCAUAGGUUGUUGGAUUUCUUCCAUGUGAUACCUAAGUUCAACCAACAACAAUGAAGAUGAAAGUGCAGCCAUUUGGUCAAGAUUGUGGUAUGAACUUAAGUUAGCAUUCACCUGGCCAUAUGUUUGCUUGAUUCGGCUUAGUAAUUAUUUCCAACUAAAUUGUGCACUUUUCUGAAAUGUCAUGUAUGAUGUACCCAUGUGCUCAUCAUCCUCCCUCCCUUGAUGAAGAUUCGUCCUCGACUCUCUUUGAUCUACAAAAGAUAAGUAGAAGGGAAGUAGAUAAUAUCCAUGCAAAGAAAUAAUGCAAUCCUCAUUUGUAGCUUUCACCUUUGAAUUGUGUUGCAUUUGAUCAUGUACUUGUUUGUCAUGACUUGGAGUUUGUUCAGGGAUGAUCGGUGUUGUUUCAAUGAUUGAGAUGUCCUUAUCAUCCCUCCUCUUUUGAAAAGGAGUCGUCCUCGAGUCUACCUGGUCUUCACACAAAAGAAAGUAGGGCAAGACCAAAUCAUAAUGCAAAUGUUCCAUGAUAUGAAGAAUUUUAGUUUCCAGCUUUGCUAUCAUAUGGACAGUGCCAACAUGAUGUUUUGUUCGACUUAGGAGUUCCUUCCAGCAAAUAUUUUCAUGGGGAACAAAUUUAUAACCAACUAUGAGCCUCUCCAUAUCAUCCUCCCUCUCUUGGAGAAAAUUCAUCCUCGACUUCGUUUGCUCUACAAAAUUAUGGCACGAGGACAAUACAAAAUAACUAGGAAAAGAAAAUGAUGAAUAAUCACGUGCAACAUUCAGUUUUAUUGGAUCUUUAAUAGCUUCUUCAAGAUUAGCAAAAUCACAUUGCUAGAUGGAUGAUGUACCAAACAAUUUUUCUCUAAUCUUAUCACGCCAUUGCUUCAAAAACUCAUAAGUGCAUACCUCUGGCUUCCUCAAAAUGGAAGAUCCUUUUUAUUUUACCUCAUUGAGUACUUGAAUGCCUUUCUGAAAAUCAAUCUUCACACAUGCACCUUCUAUAGUGGUGUUCCAAGUGCACCACAAUUGUUUCUGGAUCUCGUCCUCCCAUCGUUUCAAGAGAGCUAAUAAGUAUGACUUUUGCAUCUGCACAUAUUGUAAAGAAAGAUAAUUUUGUGAAAGGUUAGUAAUUGAAUACUCCUCUCUCUCUUUUCAUUUGGUGUAUCACUCAUUUCUUUCAUAUUAUGGGGAAACACCUCAAGCUCAUGUUUGGUGGACUCACACAACUCAUUAAUCUUCUCUCUUGGAUGAUGUGGUAUAUUAUGUUGUGGUUCACUCAUCUCUCUAAUGUGGUGUGGAAUGAUCUCAAUCUCACAUUUUGUGGACUCACUCACCUCACUUACCUUAUCACUCUCAAUAUAUGGAAUUGUGGAAAGUGGACACUCUUCCUCACAUUUGGUGGAGUCACUCAAAUCAUUUUUCUUUUCACUCUCAAGUGGUGGGAUUUUUGAAAGUGGACACUCUUCCUCACUUUUGGUGGAGUCACUCAACUCAUUUUUCUUUUCACUCUCAAGUGGUGGGAUUUUUGAAAGUGGACACUCUUCCUCACUUCUGGUGGAGUCACUCAGCUUGCUUUUCUUAUAACUCACAAGUUGUGGGAUUUUGGAUUGUGGACUCUCUUCCUCACAUGGAUUUUGUGGCACAUGUUUCUUGGAUGUUGAGAGAAUAGUGGUGGUCAAGAUGCCAACAUUAGGAGUGAGCUUCUUAGGUGAACAUGGGCUAUGAAUCACCGGAGCCGCUCCGUCAACCACGGUCAUGCUUUGCGGUCGGUCGUCGUUGUGUUGACGGGUGCCACAACUUCUCCCUCGAGCAUGACAUCCUUGUUGCACUUCAGGUGUAGCAGCAACACCAUGCCUGGGAACAUUUCCUCGUCGCCGCACUACUUGAGUAGUAGUGACACACCCCCAAGCAGCAACCUCAAGCCCUGGAGCAUGUCUUCUUUGCUGCACUUCAUGAGCAACAGGGUAUUGUCGGUGUCGAACCCUAUCACCACCUGUUGGAAGACGCUCGUGAAGCAUCCUCUCCAUGCCUCGUAGUAUGUUGUUCUUGAGUUGUUGCACAUCAGCGCGGGUGGCCAAACAAUUUCCUUCUCCAUGAUUAUUUCAACGAACACUUGGUGUAGAUCCUGCCAUGUUAGUAGGGCUAAAAAGUGGAAUAUGAUAAUUUUGUGGAAUCACACAACCUCACCUCUUACUCACCAAAGUUCUUAUGAGUUCACAUCAGAUCGUGCUUCUCUCGGAUGUGUUAAAGCGAUUGAAAGACAGGGAUCAAAGAACUAGCUUCGGUUUUUGGUGGAUCUCGGUGGGGUAAACAAAAAAAGGGCUUGUGCUGAAAUCAAGUUGAUGCAAAUCAAGAAAAUAUGGGGAUAGAUCUGCUGCACCUUUGCACCAAGAUUGGAUAACACACAACACACAACACACAACACACAAGCUUCUGAAAUUUUUUCUACCAAGCUGAAACUUUUGGAUCUUACACAACACUUUCUUUUUCUCUUUUGACUUUUUUUUUGCCACUCUUUUCUUUCUCUCUUUGAUUUUUUUGCCACUUUUUUCCUCUCUUUGAUUUUUUUGCCACUUUCUUUUCUCUCUUUUUCCAAAGCACAACAACCAAAUCUGAAAACAACUAUGAAGAUGAACUUGGUGCAGAUCUAAAAUGAAGAACAUGCAAGGUAUGCAACAACAAGAUCUCGGCACCAACAAGGCUUGGAUUUAUUUUUGGUGGGGCUUUGGACUUCUAGGACAGAAAAUAUAGCAUGAAAAACACUCAAUCUAAAGGGAUGAUAGCAAGAUAAAUUUGGAUGACAGAUCCUACCGUGUUAACGAAGGCUCUAAUACCAGAUGAUAGGUGGGAACCCAACGAACGAGUUCAUGCCCGAGGGUGGCCCGAUCUUCACGUCGUAGGAUCGAAUCGGGAGGGAUAACUAGCUGCAAGUAGUCAGGAUAACUAGCUUUAUACCUGCCAAGGUUGGAUGCAACCCAUACGUUGGGGAUGGCUGACCGAAGCUACAAGAACUCCAACCCGCUGUCCGAACAAUCGCAGAACCACAAACCGAGACUAAUCCACACAAAACGGCCGGGACCGUAGAACACGAACUAGGGGGAACCAGAGGCUCCUUCUCGCGAAUCCGAAUGAACUCACAAGAGCAAAGGUAGCAAGAUCUCUCGGAUCUUUCUAGCAAUCUUGCUGCAUAAACUUGUAGCUGAAUGGUUUGACAAAAGGUUUCCUAAAGGAUGGGGGAGAUGGGGUUUUAUAGCAAGGAAAACCACCCUUGGCUAGGUGUGAAAAUGGUUUCAGAAGUAAACAUGUUUGCAUGACUUUCUUGGGGGAAUAAGCAGACAACUUUGGGAGUUGUUGGAGAGCUCCUCGGAAAUUCGUGAAGCCUUGACAGCCUGAACACCUUCCACGAGAAUGACUACAACUUUUGACUCACAACUCCAAAUGAUGUGGGGUUUUUUGCAUUGGAAAGAUAAUUUGAUGAAGCUUCUGGUGAUGUACCCAUAUGGCCCCGUCUCUCCACCAUAUGAGUGUGGCACAAAGAAACAUCAGAGAUAAAAUCUGACAGCAUCAGCUUCACUUGAAACUUGUUUUCUCCAAACUUUUUCCUCAAAAGCGGUUGCUCCAAAAGCUCAUAGGUUGUUGGAUUUCUUCCAUGUGAUACCUAAGUUCAACCAACAACAAUGGAGAUGAAAGUGCAGCCAUUUGGUCAAGAUUGUGGUAUGAACUUAAGUUAGCGUUUACCUGGCCAUGUGUUUGCUUGAUUCGGCUUAGUAAUUGUUUCCAACUAAAUUGUGCACUUUUCUGAAAUGUCAUAUAUGAUGUACCCAUGUGCUCAUCACAAUGCCUACGAGCUUUUCAUAUAUUGUUCUUUGCUUAUUUACUUUUCCGUUGCUACUAUUACAAUCACUACAAAACCCAAAAAUAUUACUUUUGCUACCGUUACCUUUUGCCACCGUUACCACUACUAUCAUAUUACUUUGCUACUAAAUACCUUACUGCAGAUAUUAAGUUUUCAGGUGUGGUUGAAUUGACAACUCAGCUACUAAUACUUGAGAAUAUUCUUUGGCUCCCAUUGUGUCAAAUCAAUAAAUUUGGGUUGAAUACUCUACCCUUGAAAACUAUUGUGAUCCCUAUACUUGUGGGUUAUCAAGACCCAAGCCUAAAACUGAGUGCUUCUACUGCAAAGGAAAUGGUCACUGGAAGUGGAACUGCCCUACAUACAUGGCGGGUAAGAAGGAUGGCAAAGUGAACGAAAGUAUAUAUUUGAUAUACAUGUUUGAUGUGUACUUUACUAGUGUUUAUAACAACACCUCAGUAUUUGAUACUGGUUUAGUUAUUAAGAGUAGUAACUCGAAACGGAAGUUGCAAAAUAAACAGAGACUAGUUAAGGGCGAGGUGAUGAUGUGAGUUGGAAGUGAUUCCAAGGUUUAAAUGAUCACCAUCGCACACUCCCUUUACCUUCGGGGUUAGUGUUGAACCUAAAAUAAAUGUUAUUUGAUGUUUGCAUAAAGCAUAAUAUGAUUGGAUCAUGUUUAUUGCAAUACAGUUAUUCAUUUAAGUCAAGGAUAAUUGUUAUUCUGUUUACAUGAAUAAAACCUUCUGAGGUCAUACACCCAAUGUGAAUGGUUUGUUGAAUCUCGAUCGUAGAAAUACAGAUAUUCAUAAUAUUGAAGCCAAAAGAUGCAAAGUUAAUAAUGAUAGUGCAACUUAUAUGCGGCACUGUAGUUUAGGUCAUAUUGGUGUAAAGCGCAUGAAGAAACUCCAUGCUGAUGGGAUUUUGGAAUCACUUGGUUAUGAAUCAUUUGAUGCUUGCGAACCAUGCCUCGUGGGCAAGAUGACUAAAACUCCGUUCUCCGGAACAAUGGAGCAAGCAACUGACUUAUUGGAAAUAAUACAUAUUGAUGUAUGCAAUCCGAUGAGUGUUGAGGCUCGCGGCAGGUAUUGUUAUUUUCUGAUCCUCACAGAUGAUUUGAGCAGAUAUGGGUAUAUCUACUUGAUGAAACAUAAGUCUGAAACAUUUAAAAAGUUCAAAGAAUUUCAGAGUGAAGUGGAAAAUCAUCGUAACAAGAAAAUAAAGUUUCUAUGAUCUGAUCGUGGAGGAGAAUAUUUGAGUUACGAGUUUGGUCUUUAUUUGAAACAAUGCGGAAUAGUUUCACAACUCAUGCCACCUGGAACACCACAGCGUAAUGGUGUGUCUGAACGUCAUAACCGUACUUUAUUAGAUAUGGUCAUAUGGUGAAAUCUAUGAUGUCUCUUACUGAUUUAUCACUAUCGUUUUGGGGUUAUGCAUUAGAGACAGCUGCAUUCACGUUAAAUAGGGCAUCAUCUAAAUCCAUUGAGAAGACACCAUAUGAAUUGUGGUUUAGCAAGAAACCUAAGUUGUCGUUUCUUAAAGUUUGGGGUUGUGAUGAUUAUGUGAAUAAGUUUCAGCCUGAUAAGCUCAAACCCAAAUUGGAAAGGUGCGUCUUCACAGGAUACCCAAAAGAAACUGUUGGGUACACCUUCUAUCACAGAUCCGAAAGGCAAGAUCUUUGUUGCUAAGAGUGGAUCCUUUCUAGAGAAGAAGUUUCUCUUGAAAGAAGUGAUUGGGAGGAAUGUAAAACUUGAUGAGGUAAUUGUAUCUUCUCCCGAAUUGGAAAGUAGUUUAUCACAGAAAUUAGUACUAGUGAUUCCUACACCAAUUAGUGAGGAAGUUAAUGAUGAUGAUCAUGAAACUUCAUAUCAAGUUACUACCGGACCUCGUAGGUCAACCAGAAUAUGUUCUGCACCAAAGUGGUACGGUAAUCCUGUUCUGGAGGUCAUGUUACUUGACCAUGACGAACCUAUAAACUAUCAGAAAGCGAUGAUGAGCCCAGAUUCCGCGAAAUGGCUUGAAACCAUGAAAUCUGAGAUGAGAUCCAUGUAUUAGAACAAAGUAUGGACUUUGAUUGACUUGCCCGUUGAUCGGUGAGCCAUUAAGAAUAAAUGGAUUUUCAAGAGUAAGACGGACACUGAUAGAAGUGUUACUAUCUACAAAGCUCAAAUUGUCGCAAAAGGUUUUUGACAUGUUCAAGAUGUUGACUACGAUGAGAUUUUCUCACUCGUAGCGAUGCUUAAGUCUGUCCGAAUCAUGUUAGCAAUUGCCACAUUUUAUGAAAUCUGGCAAAUGGAUGUCAAAACAACAUUCCUUAAUGGAUUUCUUAAAGAAGAGUUGUAUAUGAUGCAACAAGAAGGUUUUGUCAAUCCUAAAGGUGCUAACAAAGUGAGCAAGCUCCAGCAAUCCAUCUAUGGACUGGUGCAAGCAUCUCGAAGUUGGAAUAUAUGCUUUGAUAAAGUGAUCAAAGCAUAUGGUUUUAUACAGACUUGCGGUGAAGCCUGUAUUUACAAGAAAGUGAGUGGGAGCAGUGCAGCCUUUCUGAUAAGUAUAUGUGAAUGACAUAUUGUUGAUCGAAAAUGAUGUAGAAUUGUCUGGAAAGCAUAAAGGAGUGUUUGAAAGGAUUUUUUUCAAAGAAAGGCCUCGGUGAAGCUGCUUACAUAUUGGGCAUCAAGAUCUAUAGAGAUAGAUCAAGACGCUUGAUAAAUUUUUCAAUAAGUACAUACCUUGACAAGUUUUUGAACUAGUUCAAAAUGGAACAGUCAAAGAAGGAGUUCUUGCCUGUGUUGCAAGGUGUGAAGUUGAGUAAAGACUCAAAACCCGACCAUGGCAGAAAAUAGAAAGAGAAUGAAAAGUCAUUCCCUAUGCCUCAGUCAUAGGCUCUAUAAAGUAUGUUAUGCUGUGUACCAGUCCUAUUGUAUACCUUAGCAUGAUUUUGGCAAGGGAGUACAAUAGUGAUCUAGCAGUAGAUCACUGGACAUCGGUCAACAUUAUUCUUAGAUGACUAAGGAAAUAUUUCUCAGUUAUGGAGGUGAUAAAAGAGUUCAAUGUAAAGAGUUACGUCGAUACAAGCUUUUGACACCGAUCUAAAUGACUCUAAGUCUCGAUCUAGAUACAUAUUGAAAGUGGGAGCAAUUAGCUACAGUAGCUCCGUGCAAAGUAUUUUAGACAUGGAAAUUUGCUAAAUACAUAUGGAUCUGAAUGUUGCAGACCCGUAAACUAAACUUCUCUCAUGAGCAAAACAUGAUCACUCUUUGGGUGUUAAUCACAUAGCGAUAUGAACUAGAUUAUUGACUCUAGUAAACCCUUUGGGUGUUAGUCACAUGAAGAUGUGAACUAAUCACAUAAAGAUGUGAACUAUUGGUGUUAAAUCACAUGAUGAUGUGAACUAGAUUAUUGACUCUAGUGCAAGUGGGAGACUGAAGGAAAUAUGCCCUAGAGCUAGAGGCAAUAAUAAAGUUGUUAUUUAUAUUUCCUUAUAUCAUGAUAAAUGUUUAUUAUUCAUGCUAGAAUUGUAUUAACCGGAAACUUAGUACAUGUGUGAAUACAUGGACAAACAGAGUGUCCCUAGUAUGCCUCUACUUAACUAGCUCGUUAAUCAAAGAUGGUUAAGUUUCCUAGCCAUGGACAUGUGUUGUUAUUUGAUCCAUGAGAUCACAUCAUUAGAGAAUGAUGUGAUGGACAAGACCCAUCUGUUAUCUUAGCAUAAUGAUCAUUCAGUUUUAUUGCUACUGAUUUCUUCAUAACUUAUACAUGUUCCUCUGACUAUGAGAUUAUGCAACUCUCGGAUAACGGAGGAACACCUUGUGUGCUAUCAAACGUCACAACAUAACUGGGUGGUUAUAGAGAUGUUCUACAAGUGUCUCCGAUGGUGUUUGUUGAUUUGGCAUAGAUCGAGAUUAGGAUUUGUCACUCCAUGUAUCAGAGAGGUAUCUCUGGGCCCUCUCGGUAAUGCACAUCACUCUAAGCCUUGCAAGCAUUGUGACUAAUGAGUUAGUUGCACCUUGUGCGCUAUCAAACGUCACAACGUAACUGGGUGAUUAUAAAGAUGCUCUAUAGGUGUCUUCAAUGGUGUUUGUUGAGUUGGCAUAGAUCGAGAUUAGGAUUUGUCAUUCCGUGUAUCGGGGAGGUAUCUCUAGCCUUCUCGGUAAUGCACAUCACUCUAAGCCUUGCCAGCAUUGUGACUAAUGAGUUAGUUGCGGGAUGAUGCAUUACGGAAUGAGUAAAGAGACUUGCCGGUAACGAGAUUGAACUAGGUAUGAGGAUACCGACGAUCGAAUUUCAGGCAAGUAACAUACCGAUGACAAAGGGAACAACAUAUAUCAUUAUGCAGUUUGACCAAUAAAGAUCUUCGUAGAAUAUGUGGGAGCCAAUAUGAACAUCCAGGUUCCGCUAUUGGUUAUUGACCGAAGACGUGUCUCGGUCAUGUCUACAUAGUUCUCGAACCCAUAGGGUCCGCACGCUUAACAUUCGGUGACGAUUGGUAUUAUGAGUUUAUGUGUUUUGAUAUAUCGAAGUUUGUUCGGAGUCCCGGAUGAGAUCGGGGACAAGACGAGGAGUCUCGAAAUGGUCGAGACGUAAAGAUCGAUAUAUUGGAAGGCUACAUUCGGACAUCGAAAAGGUUCCGAGUGAUUCAGGUAUUUUUCGGAGUACCGAAGAGUUACGAGAAUUCGUAUUGAGCCUUAAUGGGCCAUGCGAAAAAGAAGAGAAAGGCCUCAAGGGUGGCCGCGCCCCUUCCCCAUGGACUGGUCCGAAUUGGACUAGGGAAAGGGGGCGCCCCCUCCUUCCUUCUCCUUCUCCCUUCCCUUUUUCCUAUUUCAUGUGGGAGGUGGAAUCCUACUAGGACUAGGGAGUCCUAGUCGGACUCCACACUUUGGGCACGCCCUAUGAUGGCCGGCCUCCUCCUCCCUCCAUCCUUUAUAUACGUGGCCAGGGGGCAUCCAUGGACACACAAGUUGAUCAUUGAUCUCUUAGCCGUGUGUGGUGCGCCCCUCCAUCAUAAUCCACCUCGGUCAUAUCGUAGCGGUGCUUAGGAGAAGCCCUGUUCCGGUAGCAUCAUCAUCACCGUCAUCACGCCGUCGUGCUGACGAAGCUCUCCCUCGACACUCUGCUGGAUCGUGAGUUCGUGGGACGUCACCGAGCCGAACGUGUCAGAUCGCGGUGGUGUCGUACUUUCGGUACUAGGCUCGGUCGAUCGUGAAGACGUACGACUACGUCAACCGUGUUGUCAUAACGCUUCUGCUUACGGUCUACAAGGGUACGUGGACAACACUCUCCCCUCUCGUUGAUAUGCAUCACCAUGAUCUUGUGUGUGCGUAGAUUUUUUUUUUGAAAUUACUGCGUUUCCCAAUAGUUAUAGGGGUCGCAGGUUUAAAGGGUCUGCUAGAGUUGCUUGCCAUCCAAGCUUGUCGGACCGAAUCCUUACUACGGGCCUACUCAAGGGAUCUCGCAGUGAUGAUAGUUUUUCACCGGUCAGACCCAUCGUUUUUGUCAAUGGCGAACCUUUUGCUACGAUCUAGUCCUUGAUCCGGCCAAUCCUAGUUCAUGGUGUCUGACAUUUACUACUAUCUCAAUUCUGGUUUAUUGAUUUUCGUUGUUUUUUGUCAAAUUUUAACCAUAAGUUUAACUGACAAAAUGUCCAUGCAUGUCAUUAAAAAUAUAUUAAUGAAAACUAUGUUCAAAUACGAAUCUAACGAUAUAAUUUUUGUUGACAUGCAUCAACAUUUUGUUAAUUAUAUAUUUGGUUAAAAUUUGACACAAGUUACAUAGAGGAUCAAUAAAUCAGGAUGGAGGGAGGUAGUACUCCGUAGCAGAACCCUUGUUCCUUCUGAAUUGAAUCUGCCCCAUGCAUGUACGUGACAUAUUGAAACAAUUUUUCACUCCACAAAAUAGUCGGCGGAUCAAUUGCGUUUCUAAUGUACGAUGGUCGAUCACACGUUCAGAGGAGGCCUUGCUGGUAGCAGAUGUCGAUGGUGUGGUUGGCCAUGAUCCGGUUCACCUUCUGCGUGGGGUGGAAUGCGUCCCAGAAGAGGAACUUGUCGGCGUCGGCGCAGGUCAUGGGCGCCUCGUCGUUGCACAUGAACCCCAUCUCGAACCUCCCCGUGGCGCAGCACCCUUCCUCCACGUUCUCCAGCCCGAACUUGGCCGGGUUGGUGACGAGGUCGAGCAUGGUGUCGUAGACGGGGACGUAGGCGAGCCUGAGGUCCGGGAGCUCGGCGCGGAGUCCCCCCAGCAUGGCCUCCACCUUGGCGUUGUACUCCCUGGCCACCCGGUUGUACUCCUCGAUGCAGCCGCCGCCGUGGAUCAUGUUCUCGGCGCGCUCCAGCGGGAGGCAGCCGAUGGGGGUGAGCCCCGCGAAGGUGACGCGGCGCGCGCCGAGGCGAUGGAUCUCCGACAGGAAGCGGCGCGCGCCGGCGACGAGGAAGUCGGAGAACUCGGCCACCGUGUACUCGGCGAAGCGGCCCGUGCCGAGCAUGUAGUAGUUCUCGAGGAAGUCGUUGGUGCCGAUGCUGACGACGUGGAGCGCGCCGCGGACGAUGGCGCGGGCGCGCUCGGCGCCGGCGUACGCGCGCAGGCGGAGCUGGUACUCCUUGUAGUACUCCACCUCCUUCCACAGCGGGAUCACUGACUAAGGGGACGAGCUUGUCAGUGCAUGCAUGCAGGUUUGACAUUGGAGUAUGCAACAAUAGAUCCAAAAUUAUCUACAUUAUCAACGGUGUCUGUAGCACUCUGUUCGUGUGAGUGAUAAGAGUGGGUAGUGCCACAUUCGAUGAUUGCAUAUAAGGAAUGAUUUGGGAUCUCUGAACAGUAGGAACGGCGGCGCAACUCGAUCCAAAAGUAGUAGGUGAAUCUAGAGCUUAAUGCAUCACAUGGAAGAAUAUGGAUGGUAGUCGUUGUGCUUUCAAAUUCCAGUUUGCAUUCAGUGUCAACCGAUCACAAAAUUGAUUGAAAGUUAUGAAAAUUUUCAAGCAAGUGUGGUGGAUACGGCAAAAGCCAGAACAAAAGCAAGUGCAGUACUCCUACACCGCAUUAUUUAGUCAAAAAAUGAAGUGCUGGACUGUAGUACGCACGUUCCUACUCACGCACUGUCUACACACCGGCGACGCCAGCCGCCUGUGGCCAUGAGAGGCGACUGGUCGCACCUCGUCUUCCGGUCUCCCCUCCCCACACUCCGCCUCGCCCGCGGGCACACGGAUUGGCCUUGGCAGACGGCGCCUCGUCGAGCCCAUGCAUGCGCGCCACGUGGCAGAACCUAAAAAUCUUGCCAAGCAGAAAUGCUGGCACAGGUAGUUGUUGAGCCUUGAAUGGCGAACAAGAACAUGCUAUCUCCGCCGUCUAGAAAUGCCAUACUCCAGCAGGUUUGCCAAAAAACGGGGGUGCUCCAAAACUGCUCAGCGGAGAAACCAUCUCCCGCCGGAUCCUUAAACCGCCGAGAAAUGACAACUGACGAACGUACGCUACGAAUCGUACUGUUAGUCUGUGACUGACCGGGGAGGGCCCCUGCUCCCUACUCGGCUUUGAUUUCUUCUGCCUUUCUCACCCACCUCCCUGCGGCGCGCUGUAAUGAGUAACGAUCCAUGGCUAAGUACGUAAUCGACGUGCACCACACCCAUACGCAGGCGUGUGCACGUACAUGUCGCUAAGUUCAUGUCGCGCUCUGUCGCUCUGACAAUAUUUGCCGGAAAAUCUCACGAAAUCACUAGUAGUGCUGCUAUUGUAACCAGGAGUAUUGAGCAGCACGGUCAACAUUACGGUACGAACUACCGGGGCAUGCGGUGCUUACCAGGACGCCGGCGGUGGCGUUGUCGACGCCGGUGCCGGCGGAGGCGAAGCAGACGCCGCGCGCGAAGUCGCCUAUGCCGUAGGCCGGGUCGAGGUACGCCGGGACGAGCGGCGGCAGGCCCAGCGCCUCGGAGAUGAAGUCCGGAGGCAGCCGCCCGUUGCCGAACCGCCCCGUGGCGCGGGCGCCGCCCGGCAUGUCGCGGCCGUAGGGCGGGAAGUCGGACCGCAGCGUCGUGCCGAUCUGGUUGUUGUUGCCCGUGUCCACCGUGGAGUCGCCGAACACGAUCACCGCCGGCACCACCGCACCAGCAGCGCCGCCCGAGUUGAGCGCCAGCAUUACCAGCGGAAGCAUCAGCAGCGCCGCUUCCACUUGGAAAUGGCCGGACGCCAUGGGAGCCGAGGCCGGCAGCGAGUGCAGCAGAGUGGUUAGUGUGUGUACGAGUGGUGUAAGCAGAGAGUGAUGGGGAUGAGGGAGCGGCGUGUCAUCGUAAUAAAUAGAGGUAAGCGACACUUCCGACUGCCCGCUAGUGCCCAUGGGCUCCCGCGACCGCACCCGCGUCGGGUGAGCGCCCCCGGCGCCGGCGACUCGAUCUCCCUUCUCCGGCUACCCCUGCAGCUGCCGAGGCCAGAUCCGGAGUCCCCUGCUUGCCCUCUCUCUUCUCCCUGCGAGGCUCAGCCCGACGUCAAGCAGAUGGGAAGGAUGGUGCUGUCGCGUCCGUGCAAGUGGCGGCUGGGCGCGCGCCACCGACGCACGGAUCUCCGGCCUCCGUGCUCCGUUGCGGCCGCUGUGACCGGAUCCGGGUGCCCCGAGGCGCGCUCUCCCACGUCCUCAGCGCCGCCCUGCGCCCCGGUUCGCCCUGCGAUGCCGCUCGAGGAGGCCUCCGCGGCGGCCGCCGCUCCGGCGGCGUCUCCGGCUGUUGCAGCCGUCGUCCUUCCGCCGUCUGCAUCGUCAUCCCGGGCUGAUAGCGUCGUGGAGACCAAGGCAGGAGUAGGGUCGUGCACUUGGGCUGCAAGCACCAUCCCGGCUGCUGGCGUUGUCCCUCGACCGCGGCCGCUGCCGCCAGCUUGCAGAUUCAGGAGGGAGGAUGGGGGUGUGAAGGCCUCGUGCACGCCCCAUCUCAAUCCUGCGUCAACAUCUGCUUCUGUCCGGACUCAUGCCGCCCCCGUCCCUCUUGUCGGUGUCGUCUCAAGUGUGCUGCUGCCGGCCCCUGCUGCCCCGGCGAAUGGAGAGGAUGGGCGUUGUGAAGAGGAUCCGGCUCUGUCGUUGCCCGCCAAUGCAAAGACCACCGUUGUUGCCAUGGGGCGUGAGCUAACCAGUGCACCGCGAGCCCGAGCCCUGUUGCCGGCCCCUGUGGCCCCGGCCAAUGGAGACAAUGAGGGCUGUGGAGAGGAGAUGGCCUUGACGCUGCCCGACAAUGCAAAAAGCAUCGUUGCUGGCAUGGGCAACGGGCUGACCGAUGCACCAUGAGCUGUGUUGUGGGCCUCCGCUGCUGACAACAAUGACGAAGAUGACGACGAGGAGUUGGCCCCCCAGACGCCGCCGACUGUCACCAAAGCCCUCGACUCCGAAGGGAUUUACAUGGGCCAUGACACAGACACAAGUGAGGGUUGGCAGGAGGUGCUACCGCGGCGCGGCCCGCGUCGUUCGACUUCGUCGCCAUCCUCGAUGAUGGCUCCUCGUCCUCCUCGUCCCAUCCCUGCUUGGCUCCAUGGUAGAUGUUGUAGAUGCCUUGCUUAUGGGCAUCGUGCGGUUGUUUGCAGAGAUCCGUUGCGGUGCUCUCGUUGUUUGGAGAAUGGUCAUCGUGCGCGUGAAUGUCGCAACCCCCGGCGUCCUCUGAGCUCAUUAUCAUGCCUUGAUGUGCCGCAUGUGUCCCGCCUCGGCACCGUGCAUCGUGUUGCUCCUGCUUCAUGUGAGGGUUCGGUGAGAUCCACACCCCCUUCGAAGGCGCUUCACCGUGGGUCUUGGGCAUUUGUUGUCUCUGUUGCUGCUGGCUCGGCAACCCCGUCCGAGCUGAUGUUGCAGUCCGCAUUGGCUGAUCAGACUGCACUAUUGCAAGGUUGUGUGGCGCGGGUUGAGAGCUUUCUGGAGCGAGCGGAGGUUGCUCUGGGUAGACUAUCCCUUGUGCCGGCUCUGUUGCAGACCACUCUGACGUCACAUUCUCCUUGUGUGGCCGGUGUUUGCUCCGUGGAAGACAGGGGUGAGGAGUUGUAUGGCUCUUUCUCCCCUCGUGUUGGAGUCCAUUCAUCGUCGGUGCCUACCUCCCCUCCUAUGGUGUCUUCCACUGAGGGCGAGUCCAUCGCCGUGCUUGUGACUCCGGUGCUGCAGAUCAUGCCUGAGCUUAGGGAGCUAUGCCUGAGUCUAUCAGUGGAGCAUACGAAGGUGGACAUGUCGGCGGCCUCGAUUGAAGGACAAGUUUCGCCUCUGUCAAGUGAGCAGUUGGAGGUUUCUUUGGUUGAUGAUGCUAAAGGGAAGGCAGCUGCAAUUUCAUGAUUGGUAGUGCUUAGUGUUUCGCGUUGUCCACGUGGCUUUGGUCUUUUGAGUCGUAGAAGUGGCUGUGGUUUAGUGUGUGUUGGGAGCAUUUGGUGGACCGUCUACGUGGUCGUGAGAGUGAGUCGCUUCUGGAGUGUCACUUUUGUAGUGUUUGUAUCAGUUUUCGCCCGGUUUUCCUAAAUUAACCGAGCAAUUCUCUUCUUCUUAAUUAAUCGAUGAGGCAAUCCUUUUGCCUCUGUUUCGAAAAAAAAAUAGAGGUGACGUGAGAAUCAUUGGGGCGGUGGGAACUGUAGCGACAGCAUGUCAUGCAGAGGAGGAUUGAUAAGUUAUUACUGCAUGCACGGUCAUUAUAUCACUUACUUGCAAG
rnacentral:lncRNA from 1 species